rnacentral:lncRNA from 1 species
UCAUUCUCAUCACUCUCUAUUUGGGGAACUUCCAGAUUCUAAAACUGGUGCCUAAUCACAAUUUCUGGUAUUUUAGGCAAAACUCAUUAUCUCUGCCCUGUUUUUUCAUUUUUGUUUUUCAUUUGGUUGUUUGAUCAUUUUUUUUUCAAUGUGGGUCUUGAAUCUUGAUCAAUUUUGUUUGAUUAACUUCGGUGUGGACUAAGCUUUAAUUAAAAAGAUGAAAGAUCAACAAUUGAACGUUCAUGAGCCGACCAACCUAUUUGAAUGCAAAAGAUACAGUUCAGUUCUUCAUUCAUCACCAGGUACAAAUUUUGCCACUCUCUUAUUGUGCAUGUUGACAUUUCUUUUGUGUGAAAACUUAAAAUUGAAAACACAGUUGCUACUACUAAUGUUAGAUUCGACCUUGCGGUCUUUACAGAAAUCAGAAAUGGGAAUUGAUUUGAAGUGCACUGUCUGCAUUACUUUGGUAUAGUGGAUAAUGCAUGCGGUUUUACAUUGAAAUAUAUGUUUAUCCUAGAGUUAUUGUGCACUUUGAAAUGUUGUUGAUGGUGUCACAAAUUUUGUUGUAGAAGAUGGGGUGAUUGUGAGGCUAUGGGGCGUUCCUGAAGACUCAGUUUGACCCCUUUCAGAAGUAAUGGUGUCACUGUCACUGACCAAUGUUGAGAAUGAUGUUGGAGGAGCAAUAUAGGUCGCCACCGGCAUCUUUGAUGGGAGAAUAGGCAAUGGAGCUUCGAAGUUAAGCACUUGAAUCGCUUGUUGAAUUGAAGAUCUGAAUAUAUAUUGCGGGUGAGCACACCAUAGCCCAACAAUCAUCAAGCACUCCAUUUGUUUCUCAUCAAAAUGACCAUAGAGUUUUGGAUCGGCUGCUUGAAUAACAUUCCCUUCUUCAUAAAGCCCCCAAACCCACUUCACCAGUUCGAUUUGGCUACUUUCUAAUUUGAAAUCAAUGGGUUUUCUCCCACAAGCUAUUUCCAAAGAAACAACUCCGAAGCUGUAGACAUCUGAUUCCUUGGUAGACUUUCCUGUGGUAACAUAUUCUAGAGCCAUGUAGCCUCGGGUUCCUGCCACAAUUGUUGUUAGUGACUGUUCUCCAUGGUCUACAAGUCUAGCUAACCCAAAAUCUCCAAGUUUCACGUUGAAGUUUGAAUCCAGCAUAACAUUGCUCGACUUGAUAUCCCUGUGAAGCACACAUGGUUCCCAUUCUUCAUGUAGAUACAAUAACGCAGAGGCCAACCCCUUGGUAAUGUUGUAUCUCACCUGCCAACUCAACAAGCUAUUUUCUUUAAAAAGAUGGGAAUCUAAACUUCUGUUUGGCAGGAACUCAUAAACGAGUAGUAGUUCUCUUUUUUCAUGGCACCAACCAAUGAGUUGCACCAAAUUCCGAUGCCUAAGUCUGCUAAUGAUCCGCACUUCUGAUGCGUACUCCUUCAUCCCUUGCUUAGAUCCGCUGGAUAUCCUCUUAACAGCAACUUGUAAGUUUAAGUCUUUUAUGAAGCCUCUGUAAACCCCUCCAAAUCCUCCCUCUCCCAGCUUCUCUCCCUCCUCAAAUUACUGGUCGCUUGAGCCAACUCGUGGUAAGAAAACUUCCUUGGGCCGGUUACAUUUUCCAGUUCUUUAUCAAUCAGUUUAUUACAAAAGAGAUUCUCAUCAAGUCCGUCUACUGCUUUGCUUUUCUUCCGAUAUAUGAACCAAACCAAACCCAACCCAGCAAACAAGAUUAGAGACCCAGCAAUACCCAACCCGAGCAGGAGUCCCAUUUUGGAUUUUCCGGGCCCGGGAUUAACACCGGAUGGUGCAAUAGAUUCUGGUUUGUUGUGCGUAGGAUCGUCAUCAACCAGAGCAGUUGAAGUGAAAUUCCAUGGAAUGAUCUUAUGAACAGCAAUAUCUUGACCUUUAGCAGCAGAGAACCCAACAAUUACCCAAUCUGGCAAGUAUUGUUUCAAAUCAAUUAUGUAAGAAAGAUAUUUGAUCACCUCCACUUCAGUACCAUUUGUACCAUUUUGAAAACUCGUGAAUGCAACACUCAGAUUUUUUGAGAUGGAGUUAUAACUAAUCCAAGCAUCGUUUCGUUUUUCUUCAUUAAUAUCACCAUUCCAGGGAGUGGUAAUGUUAGACUUGAGAGAGUUGAUGUCAAUGCCCACAUGAUCACCGACCGGAGCCCUGAUUACAGGCUGCUCAUUCCUGUAGAUAUCAAACUCCACAGCCACAAAAGGAUACAGCGUCCUUGUGGUGUCCUGGUAGUUCCUCGACGGGCAGGCCAAGAUGGCCACCACCUCCUGCUGAAAUGUUGAGUAAGGAACCACUUGGAGCUAUGAAAAACACCAUCCCGUCGGCAUGACCUGAAUCGAUCAUGAAUGUGAAGUGUGUGGUAAAAUCAGCGAUUUUUCCUGUAGAGGUUUCCCAGAGGAGGAAGGGUUGAUAGUAGGUGGCUUGGCCGACAUUUUUAUUUUGUCUGGCGCUUCUGGUGAGUUUGAUGACUUGCUCAUCUAUGUAAGCUGCUCCCUAGAGAAAUAUACCAGUGUUGCCAAUGGUGAAGCUGUCGUAAUUGAAGGCCAAGGGAGAUGCGGAAGGGAUAAACAGAAGGAAGAGGAGGAGGAGGGGUAGAAGCUUUGCGGAAGGGAUAACCAUAGUAUCCAACUUUAUGUAGAGACAUUUUGCACAUUGCUUGUCAACUAUUAAGUAGAGCGAUCAUCUUUUCUUGUAAACCAAGAAACGAGUGUUUUUACAGCACAGAGUCAGUGUUUUUUGGAUUCACUGUCUUGUUGAAACUACAAUAGUAUCUAGAUUCAAGAGUACAUAAUAUAUUUAUCUACAUGUGUUUUGGUUUGAUGUGAAAACUGAAGGAAUGAAUGGACGGCAGCUGAACACUGAAGGAACGAAUGGAUGGCAGCUGAUUUUUUUGUAUAUGUUGACAUUGGGAAGACAUGGAUAUCGUCGUUUGAACUUGGUGGUCAUACUUGAGUAUUGGGUUUUUCUUUUGAUGCUGUUUCUCUGUGCAUUUUGACAUGUACAUUUCUGAAUGCCCUGGUAGAAAGAACCUCUCUUUCACUUACUGCUUUUCGAGUAAAAACCCUCUUGCUAUCUCUUGUUAUAAAUUUAUGAGUAUAACAUAUAAUUACGACAUGAUGGUAGUCGAACAUAUUUACUUAAAGAUACUCACUAUAAAAAAAUGCAUUUCACACAAAUUUAUAUAUUUGUGUAACAGAGUGAGAUUAAAUUUAUCUUGUAUACAAAAGUGAGGCUGAUGGAAAAGAAUUGGAUGCAGAAGAUGAGGUGAAUUGUGAGGAGUUGGUGUUGUAACCAUGACCCGAAGACUCUGUCUGACGUCUUUCCAAAUCAGUAUUGUAACUCGCCGAGAUUGAAAAUGAUACCGGAAGAGAUACGUAGCUGGCCACCGGCAUCUUUGAUGGGAGAAUGGGCAACGGAACUUCGAAGUUAAGUACUUGAAUUGUUUGUUGUAUCGAAGGCCUCAUCAUGUAAUCCGGAUGAGCACACCACAGCCCAACAAUCAACAAACACUCCAUCUGUUUCGCAUCGAACUCUCCACACAAUUUAGGGUCAGCUGCUUCAAUGAUUUUCCCUUCUCCAUAAAGCUCCCAAACCCACUCCACCAUGUUAAUUUGAGUCCUUCCAAACUUUGGAUCAAUGGGUUUUCUCCCGCAAGCUAUCUCCAAAGCAACAACUCCAAAGCUGUAGACAUCUGUUUCCUUGCUUGCCUUUCCUGUGGUAACGCAUUCCGGAGCCAUGUAUCCCAUGGUUCCAGCCAGAACCGUGGUUUGCGAUUGUUUUCCAUGAUCCACAAGUCGAGCUAAUCCGAAAUCCCCAAGUUUGGCGUUGAAAUUUGAAUCGAGCAUAAUAUUGCUCGAUUUAAUAUCCCUGUGCAGCACACAUUGUUCCCAUUCUUCGUGUAGAUAGAACAACCCGGAUGCCAAGCCUUGAGCAAUUCUGUAUCUUGCCUCCCAAUGUAACAAGGUUUUCGGUUUGAACAAAUGGGAAUCUAAGCUUCCGUUGGACAUGAACUCGUAAACAAGCAGGAGCUCUCCUUUUUCAUGGCACCAACCGAUUAGUUGCACCAGAUUCCGAUGCCUAAGUCGACUGAUGAUCCUUACUUCCGCCGCGUACUCCUUCAUCCCCUGUCUAGACCGACUUGACACCCUCUUAACAGCAACAUACGAGUCCAAGUCUUUUAUGAACCCUCUAUAAACCCCACCAAAUCCUCCUUCUCCAAGCUUUUCUCCCUCAUCGAAAUUACCCGUGGAUCGAGCCAAUUUCUUGUACGAAAACUUCUUCGGGCCCGUCCCCUUCUCGAAUUCCUCAUCGAUCGAGUCGUUCACCGUAGGAUCCUCAUCAUCACUACUUCCCCCUGUUUUUCCCUUCCUCCAACAAAUGCACCAAACCAAAACCAACCCACCAGCCAAAACCACACACCCACCAACAACCAGCCCAACAAGCAGUCCGACAUUGACCCCGUUUUCUGGCGCCGAGUUGUUAAACUCGUUCUCAUCGCGCAGUUCUGUAGAACUAAAAUUCCAUGAGUUGAUUUUAUGUAGAGCUGUAAGAGUCCCUGUCGCGGCAGUGAACCCAACAACAACAUAACCCUGCAAGUACUCAUUCAGGUCUACAAUGUAACUAAUAUUCCUCCACACUAGGGAAGCAUUCUCAAAACUAGUGUAAACAACACUAAGAUUUUUGGAUCCAGAAUCGUAGCGAAUCCGAGCAGUAUUUUCCCCUCCGGUUGUAAUGGAUCCAUUCCAAGGCUUUGUAACUUUAGACUUGAGAGAGUUCAUGUCAAUACCAACAUGACCGCCGUCAGGAUCUUUGAUGGAAAUUCGGUUAUUCUUGUAGAUAUCAAACUCCACUGCCACAAAGGGGUACAGAUUCGUCGAUUCAUUAUUUGGCAGCUCUAUGACGGGGAGGCCUAGAUAGCCGCCUAGGCCUACUGUGGUGUUGAGUGAGGACCCGUUUGGCGCCAAAAAGAAGGCGAGUCCGUCGCCGUAGGGCGUUUUGUCUAAGGAGUCGAUGGCGAAUGUGAAGUUUGUGGUGAAAUCAGCGAGUUUUCCGGUGGCGUUCUCGCGGAGGAGGAAGGGUUGAGAACAGGUGGCUCGGCCGACACUUUUGUUCCGUUGGAUGUCGGCAGCGCUAUUAGUCAGACGGAGGAACGUGCCGUCGACGGAAGCAUCUCCCUCGAGAGAUAAAUUGCGGGGGACUUUUGGGAAGGAGGAGAAGUUGAAGGAUAAUGGAGCUGCACAAGGAAGUAGCUGAAACAAGAGAAGUUUGAGAAGAAGGACAACCACCAUGUUUGUAAUGCUUUUACAGAUUAAACUGUUAUCAUCUUAAAAUAUAGCAGAGAUUGUAGAGUUUAAUUAUUAUUAUUUUAAUUUUUUUUAGGGAUUUUAUCUGCAGCCGCCUUUGUUUACCUGAAAAUGAGCAGUUGACUUGCUCUGUAGCUGAAGUUUUCUUUUGCUAAAAUAUCAUUGGUUAUUAUAAUCUCCCGAUCACACUGAAACUUUGUUUUUCGAAAUAACGCAGCUUGACUGACUUGCUCUAAUCUAAUCAGCAGCCCCAUUUAUCGAGUUGGGUUUUUCUUUUGCUGAAAUGUCAUUGGUCAUGUCCAUCGAUCCAAUUCAAAAGUUUAAUUAAUACAUCUACGGCAUAUUUUUAUUUAUUUGGGAAACUCGAUGGUUGGAGGUAAACUUUAUUAUUUUUGAAAAAAAUUAAGUACUAUGCGGUUGGGGUUAAAAAAUCUUGUACAAAGAUGUUGUAAGUCUCUAACCAAGGGAAGCUACCAUCAUUAGAUAAACCGCACUCUGCAAUCCAACAAGCAACAUUGGCUAGUAGACUGGCGCUUAGGGGCAGUUUAAUAAUUAUUUUGUUUUUAACUUUUAGUUUCGUUGGUUUUUUAAUUGAAAACUAUUAAAUAAAUUAUCAAUAAAGUAGAGCCGAAAACAGUUUACGAAAAAUUGAACUGUCAUGGAUUAAAAUUGCCCAAGAUUUUUGUUGCGUGGUUGAAGAAUAGACGAUGGUGGAAAAUUUGCGCUCAUUCCACUCAGGACUGUUUCUGAGAUUUUGGAGGUUCUGUGUGAAAUUCAUAAAAGGGGCUCUUCUUAUACGACAUCUUAAAAAAAAAUUGAACAACGUAUUGAUGUUAAAAAACAAUAUCGAAAUAGCUCAUUUUUUAGGCUGAAUCAAUUGUUUAACUUUUCUUUUUCUUUGACGCUUCAAGUAGCUAGAUGUAUAUUUUCUAGUAAGUGCUAUCUUUUAUAACUCAAACAAGAUCACAAUAAAAUUAUAGUAAGUAUGAACGAUAAAACAUGAUAAUCCGUAAUACGUGUGCGUCUAACGAUUUUUUGUGACUGCUCUUCUCUUGAUUUUGCCCUGAAAAGUACCCAAAAAAAAACAUUAUAGACGAAAAAUAGCCAAAUCUUCAAGUCAAUAUACUUAAAUUAGUAAAUAUCAUGCUUUGAUUGAAGUCUCCUUCAUUUUGAUAAUUUGGAAGUUUCUCUUUAAUUUCAUAAAUUUAUAAAUUAAGGUUUAAUAAUUGUGGGAAAUCUAACAAUGGGACGAAGAGAGAAGGGAAUUACACUGGGAAUCUAGGACAUUGGCACAACGUGUUACAUCCCAGACCGGGACAUAUCACUUCCCCGGCCCGUUUCACCACCGUAGCACGAUAUUGUCUGCUUUGGGCCCCGACCAAGCCCUCAUGGUUAUUGUUUCUGGGAAUUCACGAGCAACUUCUCAGUGGGUCAUCCAUCCUGGGAGUGCUCUGGCCUCCUUCUCGCUUAACUUCAGAGUUCCUAUUGAACCCGAAGUCAGUUAGCUCCUGAAAUGCCUCGUGCUAGGUAGGGAUGAGAAUAUACAUUUGAAGAUCAUUCCCCGGAUGAUUUGGGAUGUCACACAACGUCUAUGAUUCCGGUGCUUUUGUACUGGUAGUCUGCUAUGAAAAGAAGAAAGUGGAACAUAGUGAUGGGAUUUUGGCGUGAGAGGAAUACUGUCUUUGAAUUGUUUGCCUCGAUCAGUGGGCUUCUCUGAUUAACUUUGCCCUUUGUUAAUUAUUUUUUUAUAUAUUUUCGUACAAGUUGUAGGUAGUCUGAUGGGUGAUGGCUUUUAGGUACUUGGUCAGUGGGCUUCUCUGAUUAACUUUGCCCUUUGUUAAUUAUUUUUUUAUAUAUUUUCGUACAAGUUGUAGGUAGUCUGAUGGGUGAUGGCUUUUAGGUACUAGUAAUCUGACUUUGAUGGGUAGUAGUCUGAUGGCUUUUGGCCCAUCAAAUUUUUUUAUGCAUAUAUUUUGAUUUGAUUUUGACCCAUCUGAUUUUUAUAUGUAUAUAUUUUGAUUUGAUUAAUAUCUUUAUAUAUUAUUUUUAUAUAAUAUUAUUUUAUAUAUAUUAUUAUAUUCAAAUUUUUUUUUUUGGGGUUUUGAGGACCCUAUGCCAUCGAACCGGUCGCACUCUCCCAACGCCGACUCUGAUUCCACUACGCGUUCAUUGUGGGAACAAAAAACUGAGUCUAUGAUGGAUUUUUCGUCUUUUAAAAUCUUUGUCGGGACGAUGGUGCUUGGAAACAAUACAUGAAAAAGAAGGGGAGACAUAAACCAUACCCUUCUAGAAACGAAAACAAGAGAGAUACAAAGAAAAGAGGGGGAGAUAUGAAACCUAACCCCUCUGAAACCAAACCUAAAGGUCUAAACCUACAAAACAAGUUGAGCAACACCACAAAGUUAGGGGAAAAAAAAAAGUAAGACAAACAUGGAUGUCAAGAUGCACAUUAAUUUGAGAAGCGGUAACCAGGCAAGCCAACAUAGUCCAAAAACAAUGCAACACGAGCCGCUGGCGAAAGAGAACCAUGCCAAGUUAAAGUUGGAGAAGACAAGCCCAUGUUAGUAAAAUUGUCCGCAACAAAAUUUCCCUCCCGAUAUAUGUGAGAUGAGUAGAAAGUCAUUUUUUGAAUGCAGUCCAAACAAAUAGACCAUUGUGUACGAAGAGGCCAUGGGGGAUCAAAAUCAGACGAUUGAAGAGCAGAAAUAACACCAGAGCUGUCACUUUUCAUAUGCAAACUCCAUACCAAUAAUAAUUGCAGAUAAUUCUGCAAAAAAAAAAAAAAAAGUUGCGAUAACCAAUCCACUGGCAGAAACCACCAAGAAAAUGACCAUGGCAAUUCCUGAAAACUCCUCCACAAGCAGUAGGACCGGGAUUUCCUUUAGAUAAACCAUCUGUAUUAAGUUUAAUCCAAGGAAACCAAGGAGGAGACCAAAGGACAUGAAUAAUAGUAGGCGCCUUGCGAGAGAUAGGUCAGAUCCCCAUUGUUAGAUGUACAUAUUUAUUUUGAUUUUUUUGGUCUUUUGUUUACUAAUGAGGUGAAGAGAAACUACAUGAAUGAUACGACAAAUGAGUUAUAACUACUUUUAUUUUAUAUUAUGUUUUGUAACAAGUAGGAUAAGUUACAUUAAUUUAUAGAGAGAGGGACUCAAAAAUGGGACUUUGAGUAUAAAGAAGAAUGCUCUUAACCAACUGAGAAUUAAUUAACUAUAGACGACAAGCAAGGCAGAUUGGAAUACGAAUAUCUCAAAAGCUUGGUCAUGGACUCAACAACUUUUAUCGCAUAUCUACACAAACGGACCACCGAUGCCACCAUCAUCCUGAUCGGAUAAGUGAGUGAAGUCCGUCGACUUCGCUGAGACUGACCAUUCUUUCUCCCCAAGAUACGAAAACCUGAUCCGGUAUGAAAUCAGCCAGGUUUCUUAUAUUUUUGGAGAUUCUUACAAUUUAAGGAUUUUGCGUGCGAAGUAAGUACUCACACUUAAAAGAUGAUGCAAUAUCUACUCCUAGAUAUCUUUUGGGAUUCUCCAAGUGUAAUACGGAUUCUGGUAAUCAUGUCAUAUUAAAGUUGGAGAAGACAAGCUCAUGUUAGAAAAAUUGUCCGCAACAACAUUUCCUUCGCUAUAUAUGUGAGAUGCAUAGAAAGUCAUUUUUCGAAUGCAGUCCAAACAAAUAAACCAUUGCAUACAAAGAGGCCAAGGGGGACUUGUGGUCAUUGGUUCCUUAUCUUAGUAUUCAUUUCACAACAACAAAUGAUGAUCACUUGGAUCAUUCAUGAACCGAGAUACUACACUGAUUGUGUAAACUAUAUAUGUCUUGUAUUAGAUAAAUAAAUUAGUGAGCCAACAACACGUCUAUGCAUAGAAGCAUCAACUCUUGGUAAGCAAGAUGGGGUUCCACCAUAAAACCAAUUGGUUUUAUGGUGGAACCUCAACUUUCUAGAUGGUAUGGUUAUCCCACGUGUGAAGCACACCAGCCAUUUGUGAUCCAUAUUACCCUGAUUAUGCGCUUAAAAAUUCGCUAAACUUGGGGGGUGUUGAGAGUAGAAAUCCCUCAUCGGAUUAGGUGGAACCUCAAUUUUCUACUUGGUACCAGAGCAUGUUGUCCAUGUGUGAAGCCCAACGGCCACACGUGCUCUACAUCACUAAAGUUAUGGUAUCCACGUGUUAGGCUUGAAAAAUUCGCCACAAGUAAAGGGGCGUGUUGAGAAUAAAUAUCACAUUGAUGAGAAAAUGGGCUUUAUAUGUACUUAUAAGUAAUUGAACUACUCCCCAUAUUGGCAAUUGGUUAUCACUUGAAGCUUUGAAUUAAUUGCCAUUGAAGCAUCAAUUGGCUUGCAAUUCAACGUAUUGAAUCUUUUCAAGAGGUUUUCUACAUACUUUUCUUGAUACAUAAAAGUCCCUUCAUCCAAUUGUUGGACAUCAAUUCCUAGAAAAUACUUUAUAGUGCCCAAAUUUGUCAUCUCAGAUUCUUUCAUCAUGCCCUUCUUGAAUGCUUCUGCCAUCCUUGUACUUGUAUAAAUUAAGUCAUCAACAUAAAGACAUGCAACAAGAAAUUCACAUGUACCUUCUUUCUUGAGAUAAAGUGAUGGCUCACUUGGACUUCUUACAAAUCCACUUUGACGAAAGUAUUGAUCAAUUUUGCUAUGUCAGGCUCAUGGCCCUUACUUUAAGUCAUACAAUGCUUUCUGAAAUCGACAAACUUUGUCUUCCUUCCUUUUUCACUAUAUCGUUGCAACUGCUCCACAUAAACUUCUUCUUCAAUGUAUGCAUUAAAAAAAAUGAAAACUUGACAUCUUAUUGAAAAACUUGAGUUCUCCAUGUUUAAUGAUGUUUGAAGUUCAACUCCCUUUUUAAUGAUAAAAGAGAAGUAUUAAUUUAUUUAAGGGUAAUGUUAGUGUUCCCCUCAUGGGCGAACCUACUUGUCUACCCACUUACGAUUAAAGAAUGUUACUGUACGAAAAUCAUAACCGAACUGUUCAUUGUCUUGUUAUCAUCUAAAGAUCAUAUAUACAAAAACUUAUUCAAUUUGGAGAUCGUUUAGCCUUUCAUAUGCAUAAAAUAAAUAGAUGGAGGAUGCUACUUGUUACGAAAAUAGUUGACUGGGUUGACACAUAAUGACUAAACUAUCACCAAAUUGAAAGAUCUUAGAUAUAAUCUUUAGAUGAUCAUAAAGAGAAUAAGUUGUUCCGAUUAUGAUGUUCAAACGAUAAAGAUACAUUAAUCAUAAAUAGGAAAACAAGUAGGUUGCCCCAUAAGAGAACAAGUAUUAUCCUUUUAUUUAGUGUCGGUGCAUUUUUUGUCAUGUUACAAAUGGGCUGCAUUGAUAUCCAUUUCAUUUUAGUUUCUACUUGUCAGAAUUUUCAUUGUCAACUUGAAAUUAAAAUAUUUGGAUCAAAACUGAAGAGUAGCGCGAUGGUGAUGGAGACUCGUGGGAGAUGAUGUUGUUACUUUAUUAUCAUUGAAGUAACAACAAUGUCGUCGGCAUAUUUACUUCAAGAUAUUCACUACAAAAAAUAAAUUACACAAAAAUUUGUAUACUUUAUAACAGAGUUAGAUUAAAGGGUAAAUUACAAAAAACUACCUCAAUUAUUGGUGUCACGACACUUUCAUACCUCAUCUUUUAAAGUUGACAAUGUCAUACCUCAUUUUAUGAAUUUGUGCCAAUGUUAUACUUUCCGUUAAUUUGCCGUGAAUUUUUCAAUUAAAUGCUGACGUGGCUUGAUUCGAGGCCAAUUUUCUAUUAAAAAAUUAUUAAAAAUUAAAAAAAAAUCAUUUAAUAUUUUUUUAAAUAUUACAAAAAUAAAUAAAUAAAUAAAUCAACACUCGUCCGCUUCCCCCCAUCUCUCUCUUCUCCCUAUCUCCAUCUUUCUUUCCCCUUCCUACAACUACAACCCAGAAAAAAGAAGAGAAAAACAAAACACCAAUUUGUCUUCCCCCAUCCCCACCCCCUCUUCUCUCCGCACCCACUCUCCGCACCCAACCUCCCCACCUUCGCACCCACUACCUGAAACCCAAAAAAAAAAAAAAAAAAACCCAGAUCCCGUUGAGGUGGAAUUGGGAAACCUUCGGCAGGCCGAUUUUGAAGGUUAAGAACCUGGGUGCAGAGAAAAUGGGAGGAAUGAGUGUGGAGGGAAGAGGGUGGGAGGGUGGGAGGGGGGGACAGACAAACUGGGUUUCCUUUCUUCUUCUUCUUCUUCUUCUUCUUCUUCUUCUUCUUCUUCUUAAGGUUGGGUGGGUGGGAGUGGGGUGGGGGUGGGGUGGAGCAGGCGGACUGGGUGUUCCUUAUUCUGUAGGUUUGGGGUGGGGGUGGGGGUGGGGGUGGGGUGGGGCGGGGCGAACGAACUGGGUGUUUCCUUUUUUCUUUUCUUUCUUCUUCUUCUUCUUUUUCUUCUUCUUCUUCUUCCUCGCUCCUUCUUCUUCCUUUUUCUUCUUCUUUUUGGGUUGCAGGAAGAUGGGGAGAGAUAGGGGGAGGAACGAACUGACCUGAGGUUUUUUUUCCUUUAUUAUUUUAAUAUUUUAAAAAAUAUUAAAUAACUUUUUAAUAAUAAUUUAUUAAUUUAUUAAUAAAAAUGGGUCUGAAUCAAACCACGUCAACAUUUAACUGAAAAAUUCAUGGUCAAUUAACGGAAGGAAUAACAUUGACACAAAUUCGUAAGAUGAGGUAUGAUAUUGUCAACUUUGAAAGAUGAGGUAUGAAAGUGUCGAGACACCAAUAAUUGAGGUAGUUUUUUGUCAUUUACUCUAGAUUAAAUUUAUUUUGGGUACAAAAGUGAGGCAGAUGAAGAAUUGGAUGCAGAAGAUGAGGAAAACUACGAAGAUUUGGUGUUGUAACCAUGACCUGAAGACUCUGCCUGACCUCUUUCCGAAUCAGUAUUGUAAGUCGAUGAGAUUGAAAAUGGUGUCAGAAGAGAUCAGCUGCUUCAAUGACUUUUCCUUCCCCAUAAAGCUCCCAAACCCACUCCACCAUAUUGAUUUUACUCUUUUCCGACUUGGGAUCAAUGGGUUUUCGCCCAUAAGCUAUCUCCAAAGCAACAACUCCAAAGUUGUAGAAAUAUGUUUCCUUGAUAGCCUUUCCUGUGGUAAGACAUUCAGGAGCCAUGUAGCCCAUAAUUCCGGCCAAUAUUGUUGUUUGUGAUUGUUUUCCAUGGUCCACAAGCCGAGCUAACCUGAAAUCCCCAAGUUUGGCGUUGAAAUUUUAGUCUAACAUGAUGUUGCUAGAUUUGAUAUCCCUAUGUAGCACGCAUUGCUCCCAUUCUUCGUGUAGAUAGAACUACCCGGAUGCCAAGCCUUGAGCGAUUCUGUACCUUGCCUCCCAAGGUAACAAGGUUUUCGGUUUGAACAAAUGGGAAUCUAGACUUCCAGUGGACAUGAACUCGUAAACAAGUAUGAGCUCUUUUUUUUUUUGUGGCACCAACCAAUGAGUUGUACUAGAUUCCGAUGCCUAAGUCGACUGAUGAUCCUUACUUCGCCACGUACUCCUUCAUCCCCUAUUUAGACUGACUUGAUACCCUAUUUGUAAAACUUAAGAACUCUCAAGGUUUCACUUUAAUUGCAUGCCCUUUCAAAGAGAGGCUGCAUGUAUUUAUAUUCACGUUUAGAUUACAUCAGGGAUUGAAAUCCCUAUUUACAAGGCUGUUUCAAAUUCAAAAUUACAACAUAAGCUACAAAAUGUAUUACGGAAAACAACUAACAUUCAAAAAGAAGUUUGAACUAAUCUAACUCUUCUUGGAUAAGAGUUUAGGUUGAUCACAACCUCCUGAAUUUUAGGAAACCACCACCAGACUCGGACUUGGUCUAACAGCCCCCCGCAAGCUGACAGGAGGAGAAACAACUGAAAGCUUGGAAACAAGAUGCUUGAACCGUGAAGAGGACAAUCCUUUUGUAAAAAGAUCAGUAAUAUGGUCUUGAGAACAUAUGAAAUUCACAAAUAACUCUUGACGAACCACUUUCUCAUGAACAUAAUGAUAAUCCACCUCCAAGUGCUUUGUACGGGAGUGAAAAACUGGAUUUGAAGCGAGGGCAAUGGAGGAAACAUUGUCAUACCAGAUUGUUGGUCGAUCAAGAUGCAAGUGUAGGUCACGAAAUAAAGAUCGGAACCAUGAUAAUUCUGCAGCAGUACAAGCAAACUGCCUAUAUUCAGCUUCUGAACUCGACCUACUGAUAGUUUUUUGCUUUUUAGAACUCCAAGACACGAGAUUAAACCCUAAGUAAAUGCAAAAACCACCUGUGGAAUGUCGUGUAUUAGGAUUCCCAGCAUAAUCAGCAUCAAAAUACGCUGUAAGGUGUGCAGUACCAGGUUUAUACACGAUGUGUCCAACUAUAAAGGCUUGGGAGCAGGCGUGGUCUUUGUCACCCCAGACGGCUCAAUGCUCGAGCAGGCGAUCACUCUAGGCUUCAAAGCAUCCAACAAUGAAGUAGAGUACGAGGCCCUACUAGCAGGCCUUCGAAUGGCAAAAGACUUUGUGGUGAAAAAGCUCGCAAUUCAUCUUGAUUCUCAACUAGAGCAGUUGAAGUGAAAUUCCAUGAAAUGAUCUUAUGAACAACAAUAUCUUGACCGAUAGCAGCAGAGAACCCAACAAUUACCCAAUAUGACAAGUAUUGUUUCAAAUCAAUUAUGUAAGAAAGAUAUUUGAUCAUCUCCACUUCAGUACCAUUUGUACCAUUUUGAAAACUCGUGAAUGCAACACUCCUUCAGACGCUUUCACAAGCCCUACAAAUUCACUAACUUGCUCUAAAUAAGGGGAAAUUUUAAAUUUUAUUUUUUAAGUUAUUAACUUUUUAACACACAUAUCCCACCAUUUGUAUAGUGACACAUGGUGUAUCAUUAUGUGGGCUGGUAUGUUGUAAUUUGAAGAAUUUUGUAUAUUAAUGAAUUGUAUCUUACACAAGAGACUUGGUUACACUAUAUAGGCAAGGUAGAAGACAUAACCUUCUGACCUCCCAUAACACACGCCUAAAACUGCUUUACAGCUAAGAGAGAUUGCUUGAAUUAAGGACACAAGUAAGAUAUCCCUUGAAUUAAGGACACAAGACAAAUGAUGUACACAGCCAACCUACUUACACUUCUUAGCUGAUAAAAACAGCCAACCUAAUUAAACUUACUUACACUCAUCUUCCAAUACUCCCCCUCAAGUUGGAUCAAAGGGGUUGAUUGAUCCAAGCUUGACCAAAAUAUGCUGAAAACCAGUAGAAGCAAGACUUUUGGUGAAAAUAUCGGCUAACUGAUCAUGGCUUUACGUGUAGUGAGUAUCAAUGAUAUUGGCUUGAACCUGGGUGCAAACAUAGUGACAAUCAACUUCGAUAUGCUUUAUGCGUUCGUGAAACAUAGGGUUGGAUGCAUGUGCAUUACGACUUGAUUGUCACAAAACAUAGACAUGUGUUGAGUAUGAAAGAAACCCAAAUCACCAAGAAGACCUUUAAGCCAAAUUAGUUCACAGGCAAGUGGAUGCCAUGGCACGAUACUCAGCCUCUGCGCUUGAUCGGGCCACAAAACUUUGUUUCUUACUUUUCCAAGUGAUAAGAUUUCCACCAACAAACGUGCAAAAACCUGUAGUUGAUUUAUGAUCAAUAGAGUUGCCUGCCCAAUUCGCAUCCGUGUAGCCUACGAUUGUUGUAUGGUUGUUGUUCUUCAUCAACAUGCCCCUACCAACUGAACCUUUGAGAUAACGAAGAAUGCGAUGUAUAAUCUUUAAGUGAGUUAUAGUUGAGGAAUGCAUGAAUUGACUAACAAGGCUCACAUCAUAUGAGAUGUCAAGUCUUGUAAUGGUAAGAUAAAUGAGCUUGCCAACCAUUCGUUGAUAGUAGCUCAAAUUUGUGAGUGGCUCUCCUUGAAUGUCUAGUUUAAGAUUGGUGUCUAGUAGGGCACGAGCUAGUUUGUAUGCUGACAUUUCAACUUCUUGUAGGAGAUCAAGAAUAUACUUUCGUUGGUUUAAGAAUAAACCUUUGCUAGAACGAGCCAUUUCAAUCCCCAAAAAAUACUUGAGAAUACGAAGAUCUUUGAAAGCAAAUUUGUUGUGAAGAUACUGCUUGAGGGAGUGAAUCUCAAAUAUGUUGUCACUGGUCACAAUAAGAUCAUCGACGUAGAUGAGUACAACAAGUUUUCCAGUGGAAUCAAUUCGAAUGAAGAGAGAUGAAUUAGCAUUGCUCCAUCGAAAACUAACAUUUUCCAGCAUCAAACUGAGUUUGGCAUACCAUGCUCGAGAAGAUUUCUUAAGACCAUAGAUGGACUUAUGUAAUUUGCACACCAUAUCUUUGUCACCUGCUUGUGAGUGGCCUGGUGGAAGUUUCAUAUAAACUUCUUCUUGGAGAUCACGAUACAGGAAGGCAUUCUUGACGUCCAUUUGAAAAAGAGGCCAUGCACAAUUGAUGGCAAUUGAUAAGAGAACUCGGAUAGUGUUCAUUUUUGCUACAGGGGCAAAAGUCUCCUUAUAAUUAACCCCAUAAGUUUGUGUGAAUCCACGAGCAACCAGGUGAGCUUUAUGCCUCUCAAUGGUUCUAUGAGACGGGAACUUAAUUUUGUAUAUCCAUCGACUCCCCACAACCUUCUUUCCCUUAGGAAGUUUGACCACAGUCCAUGUGUGAUUUUUAUGGAGAGCCUGAAGUUCUUCUUCCAUUGCUCUUUUCCAUUCAUCAUGAAUGUUUGCCUCAUCAAAGGUCUGGGGCUUAUGUGCAUUUGUGAUUGCCGUUAAAAAGACAUCAUGGUUAGAUGAAAACUUCUUAUAAUCAAGAACACUUGUCAACAUGUAUUUGGCAUUAUAGGUCACAAAAUCAUGCAAUCUAGGUGGAGGGUCUUUGUCGUGAAGGAUUACGAUGAGCUUGAUUGAUAGGUUGUGGAGUUGGUGCCAUUAUUGAGGGGAUGGUGUCAUUUGGACUGGACGACUGUUCAAGUGCCAAAGAUAUUUUCUGCUCAUCAAAUUCCUCCCAAACAAUGGGAGUUGGCUUGGAAGAGGCUCUAAGACAUCAUGCUCAAUAAUGCCCAAGUGAGGCAUGGGAAAAAGAUCCAUCAAGUGCUCCCUUUGACUAGAAUACUUAGUUGGACAAGCAAAGUAGGGCAUGUUUUCCUCAAACUUUACAUUGCUUGAGAUCAUCAUUUUUGUUGUUGUUGGAUUGUAACAUCUAUAACCCUUUUAAGUGGAUGGAUAACCCAAAAACACAUACUUUGUAGCCUUUGGAUCCAACUUAUCUUGAUGGGGUGUUUGAACAUGAACAAAACAUGUGCAUCCAAAUACUCUCAAGUGUGGUAGAUUUAGAGAUUUUCCUUUCAAAACUUCAUGAGGUGAUUUGAAAUUCAAAACUCUACUUGGUAACCUAUUAAUGAGAUAGGUUGCAGUAAACACUCAUUGGGACCAAAACUUCUUUGGCACAUUCAAGUGAAACAUUAGAGCCCUAGUUUUCUCAAGAAGGUCCCUAUUUUUUCUUUUGGCAAUCCCAUUUUGUUGGGGUGUUCCAACACAACUUGUUUGAUGUAGUAUACCUUGUGUGCUCAUAUAGUGUGACAUCUUAUUAGACAUAUAUUCAAUGUCAUUAUCUGAUCUUAAGAUAUGAAUUUUUGACGAAAAUUGAGUAGUGACAAGUUUGUGAAAAUCUUGGAAAACAUCCAUAACUUCACUCUUAAAUUUCAAAAGGUAUAACCAAGUGAUCCUUGUGAAAUCAUCCACAAAGGUUACAAAAUAUUUGUAUCCAUCAAAGGACUCUAAAACUAGCCCCUAAAUAUUAGAAUGCACGAUUUUAAAAGGAUUACUAGCUCUAGACAUUGAAGAAGAAAAUGGUAACCUAGCAAACUUAGACAAGUGACAAACAUCACAUUGGUUUACAUUUUUGCAUAGGUUUGGAAACAAUGAGGUCAAGACCUUCUCAGAGGGGUGUGCUAAUCGUUGGUGCCACAAAAUUUGUUCUUGAGCUUGGUUUGUACUAACUUGAAAAGCUUUGGGUACUUGGAUUUCCCUGGACACAUAAUAGAGACCAUUUAAAUAAAAACCUUCACCAAUCUUCUUCUUGGUGACUAAAUCCUGAGACAAGACAUUGCAUGGAGAAAAAAUGGCAAGACAUUUGAGUGAGUUUAUGAGUUAGCCAACAGAUAAAAGCUGGAAAGGAAAUGACGGAACAUAAAGAACAUUUGACUCAACAUUGUUGGAUAUCAAGUUUAUUUUCCCUUUUCCUAGAACUGAAGCCCCUUUGCCAUUGGUAACUGACACAUGAGAAGGUGCGGAGAUUGUUUCAAAAUUAUGUCGGUUGUAACCUUAUUUGUCAUGUGAUCAGAAGCACCUGAAUCUAUAAUCCAAUAAUCAUGUGCACUACUAACUGAGAGAGCAGUUGAAAAAGAUUUCAGAAUACUUGGGAUAUCUUUGGAAGCAAUGCUCUUAUUUUCAGCUAGAAACCCUGCAAAAUGCCCAAGUAGAGCUGUCUGAUUUGAGGAACCUUCUUCACAUUCUCUGACCCCUUGUUUCUUGUGAAGGAAAACUGUAAACUCAUUGAUUAGAGUUACAAGAUUAGUAGUGAAUUUGGACAUCUCAUCAGAGGGGGCUGAAGCUACGAGAUCAGAAGCUGCGAGAUUAGCUUUGUGAGGCAAGCCAUACGUAGCCUUCAAGGGAGCCUUGUGAUCUCUCAAGAAUUUAGGCUUUAAUUCUGGAUGAAGAAUCUAGCACCUAUCCCUUGAGUGAUGACCAUUAUUACAAUAGUUGCACUUCAAAUCCCCUUCCUUUCCUUUGUAACUUCUUUCCUCAAUAGGCUUAUAAUUUGAAGCAUAAGCCCUAUUUUCAGGUAGGUUAGUUUUUACCUCCAUGUUCAUCAUCUUUCUACGAACUUCCUCCAUUUGAAUAGUAGCACAGAUGCUUGAAAAAGAAGGAAGGUUAACGUUCAUGAGAAUGUGGCUUCGAAGAUCCUUAAAGUAUGAACUUAAGCUUGCCAAUAGUUGGAAUAUUUUGUCUUCCUCAGCAGCACUUUAGUGUCGGUGGUGUGAGGGUGAUAAACAUUGAGUUCAUUCCACAUCGUUGUCAAUAUUCCAAGGUGUUGUACAAAUGAUUUCCCUUUCUGUUGCAACCCAGCAAUGUCUUUCUUAAGUUGAAAAACUCGAGCAACAUUAUUCUGGUUUCCAUACAUCUCUUUAAGAUUUUUCCAAAGAUGCAUGGAAGAUUUGGCAUAGCUGAAGAUCUCAGCAAUCUUUCGUUCCAUAGAGUUAAGAAACCAUGACAUAACAAGCUGAUCUUUGCAAAGCCAUGUGUCAUACUUUGGUGACUCGAUUUUAGGAAUAGGAAGGGCUCUAUUGACAUAGCCGAGUUUCGAUCGUCCUCCCAAAGCAAGUGUCACAGCUCUUUCCCAUGGAAGAUAAUUAAAUUCAUUUAAUAAUACUGAACUUAGACGUUGGUUUGGGUUUACAUCAACGUCGGACAAGAUGGAAGACGGAGAAGCAUGAGAGGUUUCUGCCUCUAGAUUAACUGAGCUCUUUCAGCCAUUCUAGAAGGUUGAGAAGGAGUUUAACACACAAGGAUAUACAGAGACAGGUCUGUUAGGGUUACUGCUCUGAUACCAUGUUGUAAUUUGAAGGUUUUUGUAUAUUAAUGAAUUGUAUCUUACACAAGAGACUUGGUUACACUAUAUAGGCAAGGUAGAAGACAUAACCUUCUGACCUCCCAUAACACACGCCUAAAAUUGCUUUACAGUUAAGAGAGAUCCCUUGAAUUAAGGACACAAGUUAGAUAUCCCUUGAAUUAAGGACACAAGACAGAUGAUUUACACAGCCAACCUACUUACACUUCUUAGCUGAUGAAAACAACUAACCUACUUAAACCUACUUACACUCAUCUUCCAAUACAGUCACAUUGAAAAAUCAAUUUUUUUAUUGUGACGGGAACACUAUGGUACAUCACAUGUUUUUAUAUAAGUUGUAGGAAAUUUUAUUUUUUAAGUUAUUAACUUUUUAACAAACAUAUCCCACAAUUUGUAUAGUAACACGUGGUGUAUCACUCUGUAUGUCUGUCACAAAAAAAUAAAUUGAAUCUAUGAUGGAUUUUUCGUCUUUCAAAAUCUUCGUCGGGAAAGGAUUGACGAUGGUGCUUGAAAUUGUUGGGAAUUGUUCCUGAUGUGAGAGUUGGGACUUUUCAAUUGUUUUUUUUUUCUUGUCGAUGGGAAUUUUCAAUUGUUAGAUGUACAUAUUUAUUUUUAUUUUUUUGAUCUUUUGUUUUCUAAAGAGGUGAAAAGAAACUAUAUGAAUGAUACGAGAAAUGAGUUAUAACUAGUUUUAUUUUAUAUUAUUUUUUGCAACAGGUAGGAUAAGUUACAUUAAUUUACAGAGGGAGGGACUCAAAAACGGGACUUCGAGUAUAAGUAACAUUUUUAUUGUUCAGCUGGGUUUGACAAUAGGCAAGGUCAUGGGUUGAAGCUUGUAAUCGCUGCAAUUAGUUUAUUAAUUGUCGCUUUUGUCUCUACUGAUUGCUUGUACAACACUUUUUUUUUUUUUUUUUUUUUAAAGAAUGCAAAAUGUUUGUUUAUCUCAAUGGAGAUUGGUCAUUGUCGGCCUAUAUCAAUAAACUGCAAAAGAGAAGGAUAAAAAUCAGAUUAGAUUCGCAACAAAGAUGCAAUUGCAAAGGUAGAUAAGAAUCUUGGUAGUCCAUCAAACUAAAGGCAGGCAGUUUGGUAUUUUUUUUUAUUUAUUUUUUGUACCGUGAUAGGUUUUUAGCAAACAACCUUUAGGCCAAAAUCAUGAAGAAAAAUGUACAACCACUGCAGAACCAAAUGCAAUCUCGUAUGAGAUAUGAUUUUGGAUAUAAUAACCAAGUUGCCAUUACUUUUUAAGUUUCAGUGGAUGAAUUGCAUUCAUUAUUGAUUUUGAAUACAAUCCUAGGAAGUUUUGUUGAGAGGAACCUUGGAGAGAGCUCGUUUAGGUUAAAAUUAUUUGUGACUAUUGGAGAUUAAAAGUAAUGGCUGGAUUAAUAACUUGGCUAUUACACAGAACACCUAAUCUUAUAGGAUUUUGCAUUUGUUGAAAGAAGUAAGAUAAAGCAAAAGGAAACUAACAUGAAAUGGGUUUUCCUGCAAAAGAAAACUAACAUGAAGAGGACUUUCCUGUCCUCCUCCUUUUUUCUUUAUUCCUGCAUUUUGAAUAUCUGAAAAAUCAAUCAUAAUUGUGUGGAUAUUAAAGGAAAGAGAGAAUACUGAAUAAACCAAAAAUGUAAACGGCGCGCAUAAAAAAUGGCUCCGAUGUUGAUUUCGGUGAAGAUCAUGAGGGAAUCCAUAGGAUCGAGGCCAGUUGUCCUGAGGUACGUUUGUACUACUUUAUCCCUUUCUAUCUCUCUUCUGUGAAUUUCUUGAAAACGGCGUACGUAAAAUAUGGUUUCAAUUUUCUGCAGGAGGAGACAAAAACGUAGGAAAAUAAUCAGACAAACUUACUCAGAAGAAAAAUGAUGAAUCAAAACGUCAAUAGAGAUGCAGAAGGGAUAAACAGAAGGAAGAGGAGGAGGGGUAGAAGCUUUGCGGAAGGGAUAACCAUAGUAUCGAACUUAGAGACAUUUCGCAAAUUACUUGUCAACUAAAAAGUAGAGCGAUCAUCUUUUCUUGUAAACCAAGAAACGAGUGUUUUUACAACACAGUCAUUGUUUUCAUCGAACAACAACAACAACAACAACAACAAAGCCUUUUCCCACUAAGUGGGGUCGGCUAUAUGAAUCCUAGAACGCCAUUGCGCUCGGUUUUGUGUCAUGUCCUCCGUUAGAUCCAAGUACUCUAAGUCUUUUCUUAGGGUCUCUUCCAAAGUUUUCCUAAGUCUUCCUCUACCCCUUUGGCCCUGAACCUCUGUCCCGUAGUCACAUCUUCAAACCGGAGCGUCAAUAUGCCUUCUUUGCACAUGUCCAAACCACCGGAACCGAUUUUCUCUCAUCUUUCCUUCAAUUUCGGCUACUCCUACUUUACCUCGGAUAUCCUCAUUCCCAAUCUUAUCCUUUCUCGUGUGCCCACACAUCCCAUGAAGCAUCCUCAUCUCUGCUACACCCAUUUUGUGUACGUGUUGAUACUUCACCACCCAACAUUCUAUGCCAUACAACAUCGCUAGCCUUAUUGCCGUCCUAUAAAAUUUUCCCUUGAGCUUCAGUGGCCUACGACGGUCACACAACACGCCGGAUGCACUCUUACACUCCAUCCAUCCAGCUUGUAUUCUAUGGUUGAGAUCUCCAUCUAAUUCUCCAUUCUCUUGCAAGAUAGAUCCUAGGUAGCGAAAACGGUCGCUUUUUGUGAUCUUCGCUAGAUUGCUUCGGUCAUUAGUGUGGAUAAGUAUAUAAAUGGAUAGAGAUAGGAAAGCAAACACAAGAUGUACGUGGUUCACCCAGAUUGGCUACGUCCACGGAAUAGAGGAGUUCUCAUUAAUUGUGAAGGGUUUACACAAGUACAUAGGUUCAAGCUCUCCUUUAGUGAGUACAAGUGAAUGAUUUAGUACAAAUGACAUUAGGAAAUAUUGUGGGAGAAUGAUCUCAUAAUCACGAAACUUCUAAGUACCGAAGUGUGGUAUCGUCUUGACUUGCCUUAUCUGUCUCAUAGGUAGAUGUGACAUCUUCUCUGGAAGUACUCUUCCUCCAUCCAAGGGUGGUAUCUUUAACUGGUGAAGAUGCACAAGGUAAUAUAUCAAUUUCACUUGAAGCUUACUUGUAGUAUCAGGCUUGGUCAAGCGCGAUACAAACCAUGUAGUAGGAGUCCCCCAAGUCGCCAAGCUAGGGGAUUUGCUGAAAGAGGUGAAGGUAAGCAAUCAGAGCUCCGGCUGAUUGUUCACAUUCUCCCUAUCUUGCAGGCAGCAUGAAGGAUAAAGAGAAGAAAAAUGAGAAGAGAUGAUAUGGGAUACUUUUGCUUUUGAAGAAGUAACUUUCCACAGGCUUAUUCUUGAACUGGGCUGGAGGGUUUUCUGGUUUCCUCCAGAGUAUAAGGCCGACUGAAGAAUUUGAGGGUCAAAACAAGUCCAUCAAAUCUAGAGUACGUUCGACCCUGCUGAUAUGGGAUACUUUUGCUUUUGACAGAGUAGUGGAUGUAUCGGCACGUGUGCUGUUGCGCUUGUCUCCACCUGCUUCCUUGUAUCCUUCUCACUUGCCCUAUCUGUUCCUCAAGCAGAUGCGGUAUCUUCCCUGGAAGCAUAAGAUGUUGAAGAUGAGUACUCGAGAGCAAUGCCAGGUAAGUAAUCAGGUAAGGGGUUCCAUGCAGUCAGUUCCUGGCUGGAAGCUUGAUUCCAAGUGCUGACUGAUUGCUCUCUUUCUCCUUGUCUUACGGGUAAGAACAAAUGCAAAGGAAAAGACAGGGAAAAAGCAUGAUAUGGGAUACUCUUGCUUUUAACCCUGAUGAUAUGAGAUAUUCUUGCUCUAGUAUAGCUUGUUUGCAGAGGUAUUAUCGGGGGGAAAGAAAGCUGAAUAUUUCAAAAGGCUUCAUUGGGAGUGCCCUCUCAGAUAUGAGGAAGGGUUGAGCAUUUUGGUAGGUCUGCCUGUCCGUUGGGGAUGGAGGUCGACAUAUAUAAGAGUCUCCCUAACAACAAGUAGUAAUGUUAUUCCUUUACCCUGCUUGGUCAUAGCACGGUAGUGGGAGCUGCCAGCUUCACAUGUUUUAACUCUGUCAGAGCACUUUGAAAAAGUGGUCUGUGGUAUCUGGAAAGCUGAUGUUGCGUGUGAAGAUUACAGACAAGCUUUAUCCAAGGAGAUCCGGCUCUUGAAGUUGGGAAAGUGGUGCCUCUUCGGUUUUCGAACAAGCAAUCUUGUCGGGGAUCUGGCUCUCGAGAUUCGGAGAACGAUGCCUCUUCGAUUUUUGAGAAAGCAAUCCUGCUGGGGGUCUGGCUUUCGAGAUUCGGAGAGCGGUGUCUCUUCGAUUUUUGAGAAAGUAAUCAUGUUGGGAGUCUGGCUCUCGAGAUUCGGAGGGCGGUGCCUCUUCGAUUUUGGAGCAAGCAAUCUUGUUGGGAGUGUUUUCUCGAAUGUGAGUAAAGGUUGGGCAUGUUUGCUAGUCUACCUUGCCACGAAGCACAGAGGUUGACACACAGGGACUUUCCAAUUAUCCAGCAGUGGUACUGUUCCUUUACCCUCUCUUCGAUUUUUGAGAAAGUAAUCAUGUUGGAAGUCUGGCUCUCGAGAUUCGGAGGGCGGUGCCUCUUCAAUUUUGGAGCAAGCAAUCUUGUUGUGAGUGUUUUCUCUAAUGUGAGUAAAGGUUGGGCAUGUUUGCUAGUCUACCUUGCCACGAAGCACAGAGGUUGACACACAGGGACUUUCCAAUUAUCCAGCAGUGGUACUGUUCCUUUACCCUUGUGGGUAAUAAUAUGGUAGCUAGACCUUCAAAAUUUAUGUGUCUAAACUUUGUUAGUGCUGUUUCUUUGCUAUUCUUUUACCCUUCUUGGUCAGAGCGAUGUAGUGGGAGUUGCAAGCUUCACGUGUCUCAACUUUGUCAGAGAACUUUGGCAAAGUUAUCUGUGGUACCCAUGAGCUACUGUUGCGUGUGGGAAGUGGGGUGAUUGAACAGUAAGAUUCAUGUGCUUUCUACUUCACCAGAAAUCUUCGACAGAAUGCCCAUAAUUUCCGCAAAGCUGAGUGUGCGUGUGACAGGUGCUGACAAGGCUGGAAAAGUAGGUGCUUCUUCGAUUUCUGAUAUCGGCCCUCGUGGUCUCUGAGCAGCCCAGCUUUUGAGAAAGCAAGCGCCUCUUCGAUUUCUGAGAUCAGCCUUCGUGGUCUUUGAGCAGCCCAGCUUUUGAGAAAGCAAACGCCUCUUCGAUUUCUGAGGUCGACCCUCGUGGUCUCUGAAUAACCCAGCUUUUGAGAAAGCAAAUGCCUCUUCGAUUUCUGAGCAGGCGCCUCUUCGAUUUCUGAAGCUCCGUCGAGUGCAGAUUUUUAUAGGGGCUGUCAUUAAGUUCCAAAGCACACUUGAAUCUCCACCAGUAGAAGCUCCAUUCUUGCACUUCUAAGAUCUUGAUUUGUCCGACCUCUUCUUUCUUCAACACCAUUGAAAAUGUCUGGCCCCUCCGACCGUCGUUUUGACUUGAACCUUGUUGAAGAGGCAGCCCUGCCUUCUCCAGACAACAUAUGGCGCCCAUUCUUCAUCUCCCCUAGUGGUCUUCUUACCGUUGGGGAUUCCGUGAUGAAGAAUGAUAUGACCGCUGCGGUGGUGGCCAGGAACCUUCUCACUCCCAAAGAUAACAGACUACUUUCCAAACGGUCUGAUGAGUUGGCUGUUAAGGAUUCUCUGGCUCUCAGUGUUCAGUGUGCAGGUUCUGUGUCUAAUAUGGCCCAACGCCUAUUUGCUCGAACCCGCCAAGUUGAAUCAUUGGCGGCUGAAGUGAUGAGUCUCAAACAGGAGAUUAGAGGGCUCAAGCAUGAGAAUAAACAGUUGCACCGGCUCGCACAUGACUAUGCUACAAACAUAAAGAGGAAGCUUGACCAGAUGAAGGAAUCUGAUGGUCAGGUUUUACUUGAUCAUCAGAGAUUUGUGGGUUUGUUCCAAAGGCAUUUAUUGCCUUCGUCUUCUGGGGCUGUACCGUGUAAUGAAGCUCCAAAUGAUCAACCUCUGAUGCCUCCUCCUUCUAGGGUUCUGUCCAGUACUGAGGCUCCGAAUGAUCCCCCUCCGGUGCCUUCUUUUUCUGGGGCUCUACCGACUGCUGAGACUUCUCCUAAGCAACCUUUGUGAAGGCUCCCUCUUGUUUGUUUAUUUUGACUCAUGUAUAUGUACAUAUUUGUAACUUAUCGGGGAUAUCAAUAAAUAAGCUUUCCUUCAUUUCAACGUAUUGUGUUAAAUACACCAAAACCUUUUUCGCUAAGUUAUUUGAAUUUUCUUUUGUUGAAGCUUGUAUGUUGAAGCUUUGUGAGUGGAGCAUGUAGGUUGAGGGAGUGUUCCCUUAAUUUCCCGAGUGAGGAAAACUUCUCGGUUGGAGACUUGGAAAAUCUAAGUCACUUAGUGGGAUCGGCUAUAUGAAUCUUAGAAUGCCAUUGUGCUCGGUCCUGUGUCAUGUCCUCCGUUAGAUCCAAGUACUCUAAGUCUUUUCUUAGAGUCUCUUCCAAAGUUUUCCUAGGUCUUCCUCUACCCCUUCGGCCCUGAACCUCUGUCCCGUAGUUACAUCUUCAAACCGGAGCGUCAGUAGGCCUUCUUUGCACAUGUCCAAACCACCGUAACCGAUUUUCUCUCAUCUUUCCUUCAAUUUCGGCUACUCCUACUUUACCCCGGAUAUCCUCAUUCCUAAUCUUAUCAUUUCUCGUGUGCCCACACAUCCAACGAAGCAUCCUCAUCUCCGCUACACCCAUUUUGUGUACGUGUUGAUGCUUCACCGCCCAACAUUCUGUGCCAUACAGCAUCGCCGACCUUAUUGUCGUCCUAUAAAAUUUUCCCUUGAGCUUCAGUAGCAUACGGCGGUCACACAACACGCCGGAUGCACUCUUCCACUUCAUCCAUCUAGCUUGUAUUCUAUGGUUGAGAUCUCCAUCUAAUUCUCCGUUCUUUUGCAAGAUAGAUCCUAGGUAACGAAAACGGUCGCUCUUUGUUAUUUCUUGAUCUCCGAUCCUCACCCCUAACUCGUUUUGGCCUCUAUUUGCACUGAACUUGCACUCCAUAUAUUCUAUCUUUGAUCGGCUUAGGCGAAGACUUUUAGAUUCCAACACUUCCCUCCAAAGGUUAAGCUUUGCAUUUACCCCUUCCUGAGUUUCAUCUAUCAACACUAUAUCGUCUGCGAAAAGCAUACACCAAGGAAUAUCAUCUUGAAUAUGUCCUGUUAACUCAUCCAUUACCAACGGAAAAAGGUAAGGACUUAAGGAUGAGCCUUGAUGUAAUCCUACAGUUAUGGGAAAGCUUUCGGUUUGUCCUUCAUGAGUUCUUACGGCAUUCUUUGCUCCUUCAUACAUAUCUUUUAUAGCUUGGAUAUAUGCUACUCGUACUCCUUUCUUCUCUAAAAUCCUCCAAAGAAGUCUCUUGGGACCCUAUCAUACGCUUUUUCCAAAUCUAUAAAGACCAUGUGUAAAUCAUUUUUCCCAUCUCUAUAUCUUUCCAUCAAUCUUCGUAAGAGAUAGAUUGCCUCCAUGGUUGAGCGCCCUGGCAUGAACCCAAAUUGGUUGUCCAAAACCCCUGUCUCUUGCCUCAAUCUAUGCUCAAUGACUCUCUCCCAGAGCUUCAUUGUAUGACUCAUUAGCUUAAUACCCCUAUAGUUCAUGCAAUUUUGUACGUCGCCCUUAUUCUUGUAGAUAGGCAUCAAAGUGCUCAUUCGCCACUCAUUUGGCAUAUUCUUCGUUUUCAAAAUCCUAUUGAAAAGGUCAGUGAGCCAUGUUAUACCUGUCUCUCCCAAAACUUUCCACACUUCGAUUGGUAUAUUGUCUAGGCCUACUGCUUUUCUCUGCUUCAUCUUCUUCAAAGCUACAACCACUUCUUCCUUCUGGAUUCGACGAUAAAAAGAGUAGUUUCUACACUCUUUUGAGUUACUCAACUCCCCUAAAGAAGCAUUCAUUUCAUGUCCUUCAUUGAAAAGAUUAUGAAAAUAACCUCUCCAUCUGUCUUUAACCGCGUUCUCUGUAGCAAGAACCUUUCCAUCCUCAUCAUUGAUGCACCUCACUUGGUUUAGGUCUCUUGUCUUCUUUUCCCUUGCUCUAUCUAGUUUAUAGAUAUCCAACUCUCCUUCUUUGAUAUCUAGUCGCUUAUACAUAUCGUCAUAAGCCGCUAACUUAGCUUCUCUCACAGCUUUCUUCGCCUCUUGCUUCGCUUUUCUAUACCUUUCACCAUUUUCAUCGGUCCUAUCCUUGUAUAAGGCUUUACAACAUUCCUUCUUAGCCUUCACCUUUGUUUGUACCUCCUCAUUCCACCACCAAGAUUCCUUUUGGUGUAGGGCAAAGCCCUUGGACUCUCCUAAUACCUCUUUUGCUACUUUUCGGAUACAACUAGCCAUGGAAUCCCACAUUUGGCUAGCUUCCCCCUCUCUAUCCCACACACACUGGGUGAUUACUUUCUCUUUGAAAAUGGCUUGUUUUUCUUCUUUUAGAUUCCACCAUCUAGUCCUUGGGCACUUCCAAGUCUUGUUCUUUUUUCUCACUAUUUUGAUAUGUACAUCCAUCACCAACAAGCGAUGUUGAUUAGCCACGCUCUCUCCUGGUAUAACUUUGCAAUCCUUACAAGUUAUACGAUCCCCUUUCCUCAUUAGAAGAAAAUCUAUUUGUGUUUUUGACGACCCACUCUUGUAGGUGAUCACAUGUUCUUCUCUCUUAUUAAAGAAUGUGUUGGCUAAGAAGAGAUCAUAUGCCAUUGUAAAAUCCAAGAUAGCUUCCCCAUCCUCGUUUCUCUCCCCAAAACCAUGGCCACCAUGAAAACCUCCAUAGUUGCCUGUCUCCCUGCCCACGUGUCCAUUUAAAUCUCCUCCUAUAAAUAACUUCUCCGUCUGAGCAAUUCCUUGCACCAAGUUUCCAAGGUCUUCCCAAAAUUUCUCCUUCGAACUCGUAUCCAACCCUACUUGAGGUGCAUACGCACUAAUCACAUUGAUAAGUUCUUGUCCUAUUACAAUCUUGAUUGCUAUGAUUCUAUCUCCUACCCUCUUGACAUCUACAACAUCUUGUGUCAAGGUCUGGUCCACGAUGAUGCCAACACAGUUUCUCGUUCUAUUUGUGCCCGAAUACCAAAGUUUAAACCCUGAGUUUUCUAGAUCCUUUGCCUUACGACCAACCCACUUAGUUUCUUGUAGGCACAUAAUAUUUAUCCUUCUCCUCACCAUAACUUCCACUACUUCCAUAGAUUUUCCCGUUAAGGUUCCUAUAUUCCACGUUCCUAAAUGCAUUUUGCUCUCUUGAACUCUACCCUUCUGUCCUAGCUUCUUCACCAUCCCCCAUCUAAUAGGAUCAAAGUACUUCUUUUGUGUGUCCCGUGUAAAGUUGAUAGGAGCAUAUGCUCCCAAACAACUUUGAGUGGAGUCGUUCGAAAAGAAGUUUCUAUGGCCUCCUUGCUCAUUUAACACUGCAUCCGGGUGCCGAUGGAGAUACAGCGACCCUUGCUCACUUAUCACUGUGCUCGGGCCACACAGCGCGCCACUUACGGGUGACGCCCUAGCUUUAACGCGAUUUCAUUCUGGAUUCAUUUUCAUAAGGAUUCGACGUAAUCAUGGAGUGCCGGCUGUCGACUACCUGACGCCCUCCCCCUCCUCCUUUAUCCGGGCUUGGGACCGGCAAUGUAAGAUAAACUUACAUAGGCGGAGUUAUUGUUUUCAUCGAACACAAGUAGAAAAUAUCCUUGGACUAUCUGAUCAAUAGUUCUGUUUCAUUCCAAAACUACACAAAUAAUGAACUUUGUUGUGUUUUAUUUUGCAUUGUUUACACUUUACAAGUAUCCUUUUUUCGAUUCACUGUCUUGUUGAAACUACAAUAGUAUCUAGAUUCAAGAGUGCAUAAUAUAUUUAUCUAUAUGUGUUCGGGUUUGUUUGAUGUGAAAACUGAAGGAAUGAAUGGACGGCAGCUGAACACUGAAGGAACGAAUGUUUGGCAGCUGAUUUUUUGUUUACGUUUUGUUGUCCGAAUGCAUAGACAUUGAGAAGACAUGGAUGUCGUCGUUUGAACUUAGUGGUCAUAUUUGAGUAUUGGGUUUUUCUUUUGACACUCUUUCUCUGUGCAUUUUGGCAUGUAAGUUUCUGAAUGCCCUGGUAGAAAGAGCCUCUCUUUCACUUACUGCUUUCCCAGUUCAAACCCUCUUGCAAUCUCUUGUUAUAAAUUUAUGAGUAUAACAUAUAAUUACGACAUGAUGGUAAGUUCAUCAUCAUCAAAGUAAUAACUAUAUAUGUCGUCGAACAUAUUUACUUAAAGAUAUUCACUAUAAAAAAAUGUAUUACACGCAAAUUUAUAUAUUCAUAUAACAGAGUGAGAUUGAAUUUACCUUGUAUACAAAAGUGAGGCUGAUGGAGACGAAUUGGAUGCAGAAGAUGAGGUGAAUUGUGAGGAGUUGGUGUUUUAACCAUGACCCGAAGACUCUAUCUAAUGUCUUUCCAAAUCAGUAUUGUAACUCGACGAGGUUGAAAAUGAUACCGGAAGAGAUAAGUAGCUGGCCACCAGCAUCUUUGAUGGGAUAAUGGGGAACGAAACUUUGAAGUUAAGUACUUGAAUUGUUUGUUGUAUCGAAGGCCUCAUCAUGUAAUCCGGAUGAGCACACCACAGCCCAACAAUCAACAAACACUCCAUCUGUUUCACAUCGAACUCUCCACACAAUUUAGGGUCAGCUGCUUCAAUGAUUUUCCCUUCUCCAUAAAGCUCCCAAACCUACUCCACCAUGUUAAUUUGAGUCCUUCCAAACUUUGGAUCAAUGGGUUUCCUCCCGCAAGCUAUCUCCAAAGCAACAACUCCGAAGCUGUAGACAUCUGUUUGUUUGCUUGCCUUUCCUGUGGUAACGCAUUCUGGAGUCAUGUAUCCCAUGGUUCCAGCUAGAACUGUUGUUUGCGAUUGUUUGCCAUGAUCCACAAGUCGAGCUAAUCCGAAAUCCCCAAGUUUGGCGUUGAAAUUUGAAUCCAGCAUAAUAUUGCUCGAUUUAAUAUUCCUGUGCAACACACAUUGUUCCCAUUCUUCGUGUAGAUAGAACCCAUUCUUCGUGUAGAUAGAACCACCCGGAUACCAAGCCUUGAGCAAUUCUGUAUCUUGCCUCCCAAUGUAACAAGGUUUUCGGUUUGAACAAAUGGGAAUCUAAGCUUCCGUUGGACAUGAACUCGUAAACAAGCAAGAGCUCUCCUUUUUCAUGACACCAACCGAUGAGUUGCACCAGAUUCCGAUGCCUGAGUCGACUGAUGAUCCUUACUUCUGCCGCGUACUCCUUCAUCCCCUGUCUAGACCGACCAAAUCCUCUAUAAACCCCACCAAAUCCUCCUUCUCCAAGCUUUUCUCCCUCAUCGAAAUUACUCAUGGAUUGAGCCAAUGUUUUGUACGAAAACUUCUUCGGGCUCAUCCCCUUCUCGAAUUCCUCAUCGAUCGAGUCCUUCACCAUAAAAUCCUCAUCAUCACUACUUCCCCCUGUUUUGCCCUUCCUCCAACAAAUGCACCGAACCAAAACCAACCCAACAACCAACCCAGCAACCAGUCCGACGCUGACCCCAUUUCCUGGCUCGAGCACAACAAUGGGGUUCGGCUCUGGCACGGGAACCACUGGCGCCGAGUUGUUAAACUCGUUUUCACUGCGCAGUUAUGUAGAGCUAAAAUUCCAUGAGUUGAUUUUAUGUAGUGCUGUUAAAGCCCCUGUUGCGGCAGAGAACCCAACAAUAACAUAACCCUGCAAGUACUCAUUCAGGUCUACAAUGUAACUAAUAUUCCUCCAUAUUGGGACACCAUUUACAAAACUGUUGAAUAAUUGGCCAAGUGGCCAAGUGGACAACAAAACAAUUCAAAAGAAAAAAAAAGAAGGUGGACAACAUCCUUCCUUGUUUUGGGGAGGAAAACAUGAACCUUGUCUAAAGUCCUUUUGUUUUUAUUUGGCAUAUGGAAAGCCACGACUGAGGUUUUGAAUGAUAAGUAAUUGUUGUUUUUGAUGAAGAGAAGUAAUGCAGCCAUAGAAGAGAAAAAAAACGCAGCAGAAAAUAGAGAGCAAAAACAGAGGUGCUGCAGCCCCAUUUUCAAGAGAAGAAAGAAAGGUGAUUUUCUUUCUUUGUUGGUACUCACUCAAUCAAAGUUGUAUUUGUGUAUUAUCUUUAAGCUUUGUAUAGGGGGGAAAUUAUUCACUAUAUUUCCCUUUCUAUUUGUUUCUUUGGUGAGUGAGAGUUAUUGGGUGUAUUGGGGUUUUGGGUUGUGAGAUUGCCAACACUUUGUAAACUCCCAUUUGGUUGAUAGUGGAUUAUUGGGUGAGCUCCUACUGCUCCGAGGACGUACUCCAGUUACACUGACUGUGGAGGAACCUCGUUAAAAUCUUGGUGUCUUUAAUAUUUUGUUCUUGCAUUUUCAUUUGAUAAAUUUCCUGUGGGUUAGCUUGAGUUGGUUCCAACGGGUUUGGUGCUAUCCUAGCACAACAAUUGGUAUCAGAGCACUAGUUGCUCUUGGGUACUGUUUAGUUGCCAAAGAUGUCAGACGGGCAAGAUGAGAAUCCUUUUGGAAGCAGCUCCGGGUUCGCAAGAACUACGGUGCAAAAUGCAAAGUUCGAAGUGGAAAAGUUUGAUGGCACAAACAAUUUCGGGAUGUGGCAAUGUGAGGUCAAAGAUGUGUUGGCUCAACAAGAUCUACUUGCCGGUUUGGGAGAGAAGCCGGAAGCUAUGUCGAAGCAGGAAUGGGAGAAAUUAAAUUUGUGGGCUUGCUCUUCAAUUCGGUUGUGCCUUGCAAAAACUCAGAAGUAUUUUGUGAUGCGGGAGACGGUAGCAAGUGUGUUGUGGCAAAAAUUGGAAGACAAGUAUAUGACAAAGAGUGCAGAGAACCGGCUACACUUGAAGAAAAAGCUCUACCACUUCCAAUACAAAGAAGGUACAAAAAUGAUUAGACACCUUGAUGCUUUUAAUAAGUUGAUUGCCGACUUGUUAAAUUUAGAUGAGGAUAUUAAGGAUGAAGAUAAGGCCUUAAUAUUGUUGAAUUCCUUGCCGGACUCUUAUGAGCAUUUUGUUACCACUAUUAUGCAUGGUAAAGAAACUGUGAAAUUUGAAGAUGUGUCAAAUGCCUUGAUGAAUUAUGAAAUAUGGCAUAGAGAUAAAAACCAUGAUAGUACCUCUGAAGCUUUAUUUGUUAGAGGUAGAUCAUCGGAGAGAAGAUCAUCUUCUAGCAGGAAAAAAUCACAGUCUCGACCUAGAGGAAACUCUAAAGGUAGAAAAACUUUGGAAAGGGAUGAAUGUGCCUUUUGUCAUAAUAAGGGCCAUUGGAAGAAAGACUAUCCUAAGUUGAAGACCAAAGGAAAAGAAAGUUCUGAAGCCAAUGUUGCUGAGGUUGAAACAGAUGUUUUUGAUUUUGCUUUAACCACUUUCUCAUCAUUUGAUUGUGCUACUAAAUGGGUGUUGGAUACGGGUUGUACUCAUCAUAUGACUCCUCACAAGAAUUGGUUUUCAAGCUUGAAAGAGUUUGAUGGUGGCGUUGUGUUCAUGGGAGAUGACAAUCCGUGCACAACAAAAGGGAUUGGUACAGUUCAUUUGAAGUUGCAUGAUGGCAUGGUUAAAGAGUUGACAGGUGUUCGGUAUGUACCGAAUUUGAAGAAAAUUUUUAUUUCUUUGGGUACUUUGGAAUCUAAGGGUUUCAGGUUUCAUUCAGAUGGACAGACAUUGAAAGAUACUUAUGGUGCACUUGUUGUGAUGAAAGCUCCUAGAUGUGGCCAUUUGUAUUUAUUGCAGGGAAGCACUGUGACAGGUGAAGCAUCUAUAGUCUCUGAAAAUAUGGGCACAUCUGAUUCAGAUACUACUAGACUGUGGCAUAUGAGAUUAGGCCAUGCUGGUGAGAAAGCUCUACAAGGGCUUGUGAAACAAUGUCUUCUAAAAGGUGCCACGACUUGUAAGCUUGAUUUCUGCGAGCAUUGUGUCUUGGGGAAGCAAACUAGAGUGAAGUUUGGUACUGCUGUACAUCAGAUGAAGGGCAUUCUUGAUUAUGUGCAUUCGGAUGUUUGGGGUCCUACAAAGACUCCCUCUUUGAGUGGUAGACAUUGGUUCGUGACCUUUGUUGAUGAUUAUUCAAGAAGGUCUUGGGUCUACACUAUGAAGCACAAGAGUGAGGUGUUAAGCAUUUUCUUGGGUUGGAAGAAAAUGGUUGAGAACCAGACUGGGAGAAAGAUUAAGAUUUUGAGAUCGGAUAAUGGUGGUGAAUACACAUCCGAUCCUUUCUUUAAAGUUUGCAAAGAGGAAGGAAUUGUGAGACAUUUCAGUGUUCGGGGAACUCCACAACAAAAUGGAGUUGCAGAAAGAUUGAAUCGAACCUUGCUUGAGAAGGUUAGAUGUAUGUUGUCUCAAUCGGGUUUAAGCAAGUCAUUUUGGGCAGAGGCAGUUAAUUAUGCAUGUCACAUCAUCAACCGGUUACCCUCAGCUGUUGUUCAGGGUAAGACACCAAUGGAGGUAUGGACUGGAAAACCUUCUUCUGAUUAUGACUAUAUCCGUAUUUUUGGUUCACCUGCUUAUUUUCAUGUGACUGAAAAUAAACUUGAUCCUAGAGCCAAAAAGGCUAUCUUUCUUGGUUUUAGUAGUGGUGUCAAAGGUUACAGGUUGUGGUGCCCAAAGAUGAAACAAAUUGUAAUCAGUAGAGAUGUGACAUUUGAUGAAGAAAGUAUGUACAAAGUCUCUGAGAAGAAUGUGAAAGAUGUCCAACAUGUGGAUCUUGAGAAAGUUGCCUCUGGUACUUCAAAUCCUAUUUUUGCUGAUGUCGAAGCCACUACAAGUGAAGAAGUUGGAGACCAUGAGAAUGUUGAAGAAGUUGAACUUGAAGAUUCUAUUCAAGUUGAAGAGCAAGUUUCACCUCAAGAGUCUAUUGCCAAGAACAGAGGAAAUAGACAAAUUACCAAGCCAGCUCGGUAUAGUGACUAUGUUUCUUUUGCUCUUCCUAUUAUCACUGAUGAGAUUCCAUCCAAUUUCGAGGAAGCCAUUGAGAGUGAGGAGAAGGAGAGGUGGUGCAAUGCCAUGGGUGAUGAGAUGAAUUCUCUCUUGAAGAACAAGACUUGGAAGUUAGCUAAAUUGCCUAAGGGCAAGAAAGCUAUCGGUUGCAAAUGGGUGUAUGCCAAGAAGGAAGAUGCUGAUGAGAAAAGCAAUGUGAGAUUUAAAGCAAGAUUAGUUGCUAAAGGGUAUGCACAAAAGGAGGGCAUUGACUACAAUGAAAUCUUUUCUCCGGUUGUGAAGCACUUCUCAAUUCGAAUUAUGUUAGCUCUUGUUGCACAAUAUGAUCUUGAGCUUGUGCAACUUGAUGUGAAGACGGCUUUCCUACAUGGUGAUUUGAAUGAAGAGAUUUAUAUGUGUCAACCGGAUGGGUAUAUAGUGAAAGGGAAGGAGAAUUUGUUUUGCAAAUUGAAGAAAUCACUUUAUGGCUUGAAGCAAUCUCCAAGGCAAUGGUAUUUGAGGUUUGAUAAAUUUAUGAGAGGCCAAAAUUAUUCUAGAAGUCAAUAUGAUCAUUGUGUGUACUUCAAGAAGUUGCAAGAUGGGUCUUUCAUUUAUUUAUUGAUAUAUGUUGAUGAUAUGUUGAUUGCCUCAAAGAAUGUUGAAGAGAUUGAGAAAUUGAAGAAACAAAUGAAGAAUGAGUUUGAGAUGAAUGAUCUUGGUGAAGCAAAGAAGAUCCUUGGCAUGGAGAUCACUAGAGAUAGAGAGAAGGGUUUGGUCAGUUUGAAUCAAAGACAAUACCUUGAGAAGUUGAUUCGGAAGUUUGGAGUUCAUGAUUCAACCAAACCGGUUAGUACCCCUUUGGCUCCUCAUUUUAAAUUGAGUUCUCUACAAUGUCCUAAAACUGAUAAAGAGAAGCUACAAAUGAAAAAUAUACCAUAUGCAAAUUUGGUUGGUAGUUUGAUGUAUGCAAUGGUAUGCUCUAGACCGGAUAUUGCUCAUGCAGUUGGCAUGGUGAGUCGAUAUAUGCAUAAUCCAGGUAAAGAGCAUUGGCAAGCAGCUAAGUGGAUAUUGAGGUAUCUCCAUGGUACUCGAGAUGUUGGUUUAUGCUUUGAGAGAGAUGACUCUGGUAUUUGGUCAUUUUGCAGUUGGUUAUGUUGAUUCAGAUUAUGCAGGUGAUCUGGAUGGAAGGAAGUCUACUACAGGCUAUGUGUUUACUAUGGCUAAAGGGCCAGUUUGUUGGAGGUCCAUUUUGCAGUCGUCUGUUGCCUUGUCUACUACAGAGGCUGAAUAUAUGGCAGUUGCUAAAGCUAUAAAGGAGGCCAUUUGGAUACAUGGGCUUAUUAGAGAUUUGGGGGUUGAUCAGAAGCAGGUGGAGGUACAUUGUGAUAGUCAGAGUACCAUUUAUUUGGCUAAGUAUCAGGUUCAUCAUGCGAGGACCAAGCACAUAGAUGUGCGUUAUCACUUUGUUCGUGAAAUUGUUGGUGAAGGGGAAAUCAUUCUCCAGAAGAUUCCAACUAAAGACAACCUCGCUGAUAUGUUGACUAAGGUUGUUGGUGUAGCCAAGUUUGUUCACUGUUUGAACUUGGCUCACAUUAUGCCUAUAUAAAGAAGGCGUUGAGCAGUAGGAGUUUUGGAGCAUUUGGCUCGGCAUGAGUUGUUCUCUUGCUAGUGUUUGGGAGUGAUGUUGUGUGUUAAUUGUGUUGGUUGGCUUAUCAUGGCGUUUUUCGGAACUUGGCCAAGGUGGAGAUUGUUGAAUAAUUGGCCAAGUGGCCAAGUGGACAACAAAACAAUUCAAAAGAAAAAAAAAAGAAGGUGGACAACAUCCUUCCUUGUUUUGGGGAGGAAAACAUGGACCUUGUCUAAAGUCCUUUUGUUUUUUAUUUGGCAUAUGGAAAGCCACGGCUGAGGUUUUGAAUGAUAAGUAAUUGUUGUUUUUGAUGAAGAGAAGUAAUGCAGCCAUAGAAGAGAAAAAAGCGCACCAGAAAAUAGAGAGCAAAAAUAGAGGUGCUGCAGCCCCAUUUUCAAGAGAAGAAAGAAAGGUGAUUUUCUUUCUUUGUUGGUACUCACUUAAUCAAAGUUGUAUAUGUGUAUUAGCUUUGAGCUUUGUAUAGGGAGGAAAUUAUUCACUAUAUUUCCCUCUCUAUUUGUUUCUUUGGUGAGUGAGAGUUAUUGGGUGUAUUGGGGUUUUGGGUUGUGAGAUUGCCAACACUUUGUAAACUCUCAUUUGGUUGAUAGUGGAUUAUUGGGUGAGCUCCUACUGCUCCGAGGACGUACUCCAGUUACACUGACUGUGGAGGAACCUCGUUAAAAUCUUUGUGUCUUUAAUAUUUUAUUCUUGCAUUUUCAUUUGAUAAAUUUCCUGUGGGUUAGCUUGAGUUGGUUCCAACGGGUUUGGUGCUAUCCUAGCACAACAAAAACUAGUGUAAACAACACUAAGAAUUUUUGAUCCAGAAUUGAAGCGAAUCUAAGCAGUAUUGACCCUUCCGGUUGUAAUGGAUCCAUUCCAAGGCUUUGUAACCUUAAACUUGAGAGAGUUGAUGUCAAUACCAACAUGUUCGCCGACAGGAUCUUCGACGGAAGUGACGAGAUUCGUGAAGAUAUCAAACUCAACUGCCACAAAGGGGUACAGAUUCGUCGACUCAUUAUUUGGCGGGUUUAUGACGGGGAGGCCUAGAGCGCCGCCUUGGCUUAUUGUGGUGUUGAGUAAGGAUCCGUUUGGCGCCAAAAAGAAGGCGAGUCCGUCGCCGUAGGGCGUUUUGCCUACAGAGUCGAUGACGAAUGUGAAGUUUGUGGUGAAAUCGGCGAGUUUUCCGGUGGCGUUCUCGCGGAGGAGGAAGGUUUGAGAGUAGGUGGCUCGGCCGACGCUUUGGUUCUGUGAGAUGUCGGCAUCGCUUUUAGUCAGGCGGAGGAACGUGCCGUCGACGAAAGCAUCUCCCUCGAUAAAUAAAUUGGUGAGGCCGUUUGGGAAGGAGGAGAAGUUGAAGGAUAAUGGAGUUGCACAAGGGAGUAGCUCAAACAAGAGAAGUUUGAGAAGAAAAAGGACAACCACCAUUUUUAAUAGUAUGUUUGUAAUGCUUUUACUGAUUAAACGGUGAUCAUCUGAAAAUAUAGCAAAGAUUGUAGAGGAAUUAAUGAAUAUUUCAGGGGAAAUUUUAUUUAAACCCACAUAACUUUUCUCUCUUUUCUUUGUUGAAUUCUUGCUGAUCUAUGGUUUUUUUGUAAAAAAAUUCUGUGUUUAGAACUGUAAAUUCGGAUUUGGAAAAUGGGGUUUCUGUGCAAAUUUCGAUAUUUGGAUUUGGUUGGUUGUUGGUUAAACUUAGGGGGAAUACCUUCAAUUCUAAGGUGAUUAGACUAACUGGGUCUCUCUUUUCUUAUUGAGUUCUUGAUGAUUUAUGAGUUUUCUGUCAAAUUUAAUUUUUGUUUAGAACUGUAAGUUUGGAUUUGGAAAUGGGUUUUGUGCAAGUUUGAAUUUUUAGAUUUGGUUGUGUUUGCUCACUGUAAAUUUGAUUAAGUUGGUUGUGUUCGCUUAAAUUCAAGAAAACUAUUUAUAACGUACUCUGAAGACUGUCAAUUUAUAAGGAUAAAUUAUUGUGAGCUCAGUGUAGAUUUGGUUAAGCGGCAUGUGUUGGCUAAAAUCGGAGGAAAUUGCUCCAGUUCUAAGGUGAUUGUACAUUAAUGGGUUCUCUCUUUAUUAAUUCUUGAUAAUUUAUGAGUUUUCUGUCUAUUGCAGAGAGAGAUGAGGGAGAGCAUGGGGUAGGGGAGAGGAUUCUCCGGGAGGGAGGUAUGGAUUUAGGGAGAAAAAGUAAGGGAGGAGUAUGGGGGUAGGCUGUGCCAUUUGGGGGUAGGUUUAAGGGGAACGUUUUUGCCAUUCUUAAUCGAGGUCAUCAUGACUAUAUACCAACUGUGUUUGAUAUAUUCAGUGCAAAUGUUGUGGUUGAAGGCACCACUAUGAACUUGGGCCUAUGUGACACAGCUGGUAACUCUUUCCACCCAAAUUCUAAUUUCAUGUUAUAUAAAUGUGUUCUCCGCCCAUUGUUAAGUGAUUUGGAGUUAGGGUUGAGUUGGGGUCUAUUUGGUUACCUGGAAAAUUUGGGAAGGAAAAUGGGGCCAUGGGGUUUCUUGAUUUGCUGUUGGAUUUGUGGGAAUUGCAAUUUCUGGUGGAAUUUUUGUGUGUAUUUUCUUAAGGGAAAAAACUUCAAUACUUUUUUUGUUUUCUUAGCCACCAAGUUGGAAAUAUUUCAUUUUCUUUUUAUUUGUGUUUGUAGUGAUGUAAUGCAGGUACACCCAUAUCUAUAUCCCAAACAACUGUUUAUAUGUAUCUAUUGUUAGAGAAGGCUUAUGCCUUUUGGGUUCAAUUUUAUCUGCUCUCUGCAUUGGAUUUGAUGUCUUCUCAGUCUGAAUUUUUUUAUUCAGCAAUGGAGGUUGUAUUAUCGCUUGAGAAAUUGGCAAAUGAAAGCUGCUCCACUUGCACAGUCUUAAGACAUUCUUAGUGGGUCUCUAUUCUUCUAGGUACACCCGUAUCUAUAUCCUAAGCGACUGUUUAUAUGUAUCUAUUGUUAGAGAAGGCUUCUGCCUUUUGGGUUCAAUUUUAUCUGCUGUCUGCAUUGGAUUUGAUUUCUUCUCAGUCUGAAUUUUUUUAUUCAGCAAUGGAGGUUGCAUUAUCGCUUGAGAAAUUGGCAAAUGAAAGCUGCUCCACUUGCAUAGUGUAAGACAUUCAUUGUUAUCGUAUGAUGUCUUCUUAACAUAAGAUGAUUAGGUUUAGUUGAUUAUAUUUUGUAACAGUAACAUCGAUUGGUUCGUGUUAUGAAUUAACAAUCUUACUAUACUAUGUUCAUCCUCGAAUUUACGACUAACAGGUUGCUGAGAAGAACAAAGAUGUGCAGUUAACAAAUUUUGUUGAAACUGAGUUUUUGGUUGAGUAGGUCAGCCUUGAUAUUUUCCUUUAUUUUUCCUCAGUUGGAAAGGUUCUACAGGGAUACUUGCAGUAUGAUUUUUGAUCUUCUGCUUUUACCUUUGUAAGUGGAAGUCAUCAAGAAAAUAUCUGAAUAUGUUGCUCAACUAAGGACAGCUCGCAAAGGCACGGUAGAAACCCAUAAUCCAAGUUCGUUGUCAUUACUUUAUCCGAUUCCGUUUUCCAUUUUUUAAAACCCAGGCGCUGCUCAAUAGAAUGUUGUUGCUACGUGAUGAUGUUUAAGCACCUUUUAAGUUAUAUUAUGUUUUCUAUUAAAAAAAAGGUUAUCUUCUGUCUUUUAGUAUCAAAAUCGUCUAUCUGUACAUAAUCAUUUCUUCAUUGCUUCAUUGUAGGUGAGAAUAUUAUGCGAGAAAGCAAGGGAAAUUCUAAUGGGAGAAAGCAAUGCUCAGGGGGAAAUUUUGGUUUCUUUAGUCUCUUAUUAUAUUUGUAUUACAUUACAUAUUUCACUGUUAUUGCAUUUUGUAUUGGAAAAAAACCAUUAUUAUUGUCCUUCAUUUUGAACUGGUAACACUGGUGUAGAUCAUUCAAAUUAUAUGGGUAGACACUUAUUAUUAUUUAUUUGCAUGCCUGUAAAAAGGUUAGUGACAAUUUGUGGCGAUAUUCAUGGGCAAUUUCAUGACCUUGCAAAGCUUUUUUGAAUUGGAGCGUUUUCUUGCUUGCAAUUUUGAAUUAUUUCAAAUUAUGAAUGACUAAGUUUUUUACUUACAUCAUUGUUGAGAGUGGGUUUUGCUUAAGCUUUUGAGUUCUUAGUUUAUAUCAAGACGUUUGAUAUGGUUUCAUUUAUUUUGUGGAAUUAGAUACUUUUAUAUUUAGAUUUCCCUUUGGAGUUCAGUAAAUUGAUUGCUCCUUUGGCUGUAAAUUUGACAUUAAAUUCUGGACUUUAAUUUCAAUGAUUACCCAGUAUUAAUUGGCUAUUGAUUAGCAUUUGUUUUCUAGAAUUUGGACUCUGAACAGCUGAAAGGUUUUGGGAAAGAAGCGCUUUUUAAUCAGGCCAAUUGGGUCCUCCUGGCAAUACAAUGUCGAAAAUUUGAAGUACGAGUCCGAUAGUUUUGGCAAGAUGCAAAUGGGUUGUGAUUGGGAAGGUAACAUCAUCCUAAUAUAUUUUUUUGAAGUAAUUACUUAUUUGAACUUUUCAUUUUUAUGUGUCAAAGAGUUUUCAAGUGUUAAUAAGGACCUUGAAAAGGUUAAUUAGUAGUGCUUUAGUGGUACAAAAUGUAAACAUCACUUUGAGUGAUUAAUAUAAACUUUGUACGUUUUCAUUUUGAAUGUUGAAGUUGAAAAUUGCUUUGCUUAGGAUACUAAAUUACUAAUGAUCAGAAAAUAACUUUGACUAAAAUUCUUUUUUGUUGCUUUCAUAUGUUGCUUCUGUGGUGGGUUUUGAAAUUUCAAUUGUGGAUGUGAAAUUCACUUCCCAAAGAUAGUUGCGAUAAUGCCUAUUUAUCUCUCAAAGCUCUUUCAGCCGAGUUGCCAUAAUCGGUAAUUGAAUCUCUCCAUGACGAGUCAGACAUCGACCUGGUACACAACUCUCACUCUUUCCUGCUUUUAAUUUUGAUUGUUUGUGAAUUGUGCUUUUUAUUUACAAUUUGUUGCUGAAUUUUAUUUUGAUAAUUUGUGAAUUUUGUUUUAUUUUUUGUUCAACAGCGUUUAGGGUUAUUGCCCACAAAUUCUCUUUAGGCCAUACAAUAAAGUUAGAAGAGCUACGGAUUUCCUUUCGACUGGUUCCCCUCUGUCGAGUGCAAACGUGCUCCUAAUAUACUUGAAUUGAUUCUAUGUCAGUUUCUUUUCUGGGAUUGUUUGUGCUCACAUUUAAGAAUGCGAUUGUAUUGCUACAGCAAUUUCAAUUAAUUUUUUCUGUGGAUAUUAUUCAUGUAUGUUGUCGAUUAUGGUUUGAAAACCCGCAGCAAAGUGCGGGCAUUCCUGCUAGUAAAUUCUAUUUUCAGUAAUUAUAUUGCAUCAUUAUUUUCAUAACAACUAAUUUCAAUUGACAUAGAAUUCUUACUCACAAUCAAUUCAUUGAAUAUCACAAAUUCAAGAUAAAUACAGAUUAAUUAUUCAUUCAUUUAUUUUUAUUCUCUUAUCACAAUUGAUUCCAUACUAAGGCUAAUUAAGCAACAUUAAUGGAACGCUCUCCAUUACAGAUGCUUUCACAGGCCCUAGAAAUUCACUAAAGGAUUGACUGACUUGCUCUAAUUUAGUCAGCAGCCUCAUUUAUUGAGUUUGGGUUUUUCUUUCGCUAAAAUGUCAUUGGUUAGCUGUCAAGAAUAAGCUAACUACGCUUGAUCGCAUUGGUCAGUUUUCCUCUCGAGCCAAUCUCAACUAUCUGCUUUGCAACUCUGACUUGGAAUCUCAUUCCCACCUCUUCUUUGAUUGUCCCCUUACUAAAGGUCUAUGGCAGCAUGUGUUGAUGAGGUGUGGGGUUCCUUCGCUUCAUCCUCCAUGGCCUUCUUUUGUGGACUAUGUGGCAACCCAUUAGAGGGGGAAAUCCCUUCACGUGGUGGUUAAAAAGCUUUCUCUUGCAAUCACAAUCUAUUGCAUUUGGUGUGAACGAAAUAACCUCAUGUUCAACAAUUGUAGGAAAAUCCCUGCUGCUUUUCUUCAGUCAAUCACUAAUAUGAUCCGGUGUCAGCUGUGUACUUUGCAUCUUAAGCCCUCAACCAUUAACAUGACGAUCCUGCAUAAUUGGAAUGUUGCUGCUUAUUAGGCUUUAGGCUUUCCCGUCAUCUUCUCCUGAGUGAGUUAUAAUUAGUUUUAUUUUUAUAUUAUUUUUUGCAACAGGUAGGAUAAGUUGCAUUAAUCUACAGAGGGAGGGACUCGAAAACGGAACUUCGAGUAUAAGUUACACUUUUCGUGUUCAGCUGGGUUUGAUAAUAGGCAAGGGCAUGGGUUGAACCUUGUAAUCACUACAAUUCGUUUAUUAAUUGUCGCUUUUGUCUCUACUGAUUGCUUGUACAACACUGUUUUUUUUUUUUAAAUGCAAAAUAUUUGUUUAUCCCAAUGGAGAUUGGUCAUUGUCGGCCUAUAUCAAUAAACUGCAAAAGAGAAGAAUAAAAAUCAGAUUAAAUUCGCAGCAAAGAUGCAAUUGCAAAUGCACGUAGAUAAGAGUCUUGGUAGUCCAUCAAACUAAAGGCAGGCAAUUUGGUAUUUUGUUUAUUUAUUUUUUGUACCGUGAUAGGUUUUUAGCAAACAACCUUUUGGCCAAAAUCCUGAAGAAAAAUGUACAACCACUGCAGAAUCAAAUGCAAUCUUGUAUAAGAUAUGAUUUUGGAUAUAAUAGCCAAGUUGCCAUUACUUUUUAAGUUUCACUGGAUAAAUUGCGUUCAUUAUUGAUUUUGAAUACAAUCCUAGGAAGUUUUGUUGAGAGGAACCUUAGAGAGAGCUCAUGUAGGUUAAAAUUUAAUUGUGACUUUUGGAGAUUAAAAGUAAUGGCUGGAUUAAUAACUUGGCUAUUACACAGAACACCUAAUCUUAUAGGAUUUUGCAUUUGUUGAAAGAAGUAAGAUAAGGCAAAAGGAAACUAACAUGAAAUGGGUUUUCCUGCAAAAGAAAACUAACAUGAAGAGGAAGACCUAGGAAAACUUUGGAAGAGACCCUAAGAAAAGACUUAGAGUACUUGGAUCUAACGGAGGACAUGACACAAAACCAAGCGCAAUGGCGUUCUAGGAUUCAUAUAGCCGACCCCACUUAGUGGGAAAAUGUUUUGUUGUUGUUGUUGUUGGAAUAUAUUCCAUGCAUACAAUUAAAUAAGCACAAUAGAUCAAAUUCAAUGGAGUAAACCAUUAGGGAAAAAUGUGACUCACAUCUUGUAGUGAAAACCAGCGACCUCGCAAAUCUUGGAGAUUUACUCCACCUUCACCGGUAACCCUUGAUCAAUUUGAUAUUUGCUCAUUUCCGUUAGACUCUUCCUUUCUCUGAAUGGAAGACACGAUGCGCCAAGAAGGUCGUCGAGCACCUAUGACAUUUUUGUAUCCCACAGAAAGAAGAUUCCUCUCCUCUACAGUCAGCUUAAGGUCAAGUUUCUCAACUUGCUUCAUACACUCAACAAUUUCUGCAUCAUCGAGUAAACGUAACAAUUCAGAGAGCAACUCGACUUGACACACAGCUAGUGACUCAUUUUCACUCAUUUCAACAUUAUGCACAUUAUGCAUUAAAGUGUACACAUUUGAUUCUCCCUAUAUGCUGAAAAAAUGGACAGUAGGAAAAUCGAAAGGGGACGAAGCUAGUAACCCAAAACAGAAAAGGAUGACUCAUAUUUGUCUUCCCUCCUCUUCCGCUAUUUAUUCUCCUUCUUCUUUCGUAUUUUCCCUGUGAAGCCAACUUCAAAACUAUACAAAUAACAAAGCUUCAAACUUUUAAUUACCCAAAAACCUGAAAAAGAAAAUUUGUACUAAAUUAAAGAAAAUGAUCAGUAAAAGCUUUUGAUUAAUGGAAGGCAUUUUGAUAGACGUACAUCAUUUUCUUCCCUUGAUUUGUCCCUCUUGACCUUUUCGUUUCCGUCUAGAUAGCAGAAAGAUUAGACCGAGGAAAAAGGUUUAGAUUGAGAAUUGAGAAUAAAAGAUUAUGAUUGAAAGUUGAGAAGUUGUACCAUGGAAGACUCUUUAGCAAUUUGUUUAUCCCUCCGCCUCGCCAUCAUUCUCCUUCUCAUUGAUUUCUGCACAACUACAAACAAACAAACUGCUGGUGUGCAGUUAAUGACUGUGAGAAACUGGCGUGUGGGCAGUUGAUGGAGAAAAAGGUCCUCGGUUUUUUUCCUAUCUAUUCCUAUUUUUUUUUUAAUGUUUUGUUUACAAAUAUAAAUGGUGUUGGAGAUGAGUUUUAUGAACUGCCAAAACAAAACGUGGAUGAAGGAGAAGGACGAUCAUGGUGAAGCACGAUCUCAUUAUGGUCACAGGGCGUUGGGUGUUGGAGUGUUAUGUGUUAACUGCCAAAAGCACAAUGGUGAAUGAAUAUCUCCUCAGUCCAGCACGCCUUUCCUUCUUUUUUUUCGUCCCUUUUUUUCUUUUAAUAAAACGAAUUUUAAAUUUGACAUUUUUUUACAAAAUUGUCCUUGCAUCUUUUAAUGUAUCAAAUUUGGUCAGUUCGAAAUUUUUUUGUUUUAGGGGCUUUUCAGUCCAAUUAUUUUUGCUGAAGCCUUAAGACACCAAAGUGUUUUUUUGGCUUUUUAAUAUUAAGGAUAUAUGGCAUACCCCUACCCGAAAUGUCCACCUAGACUCCGAAUCGAGUUGUACUGGCCGACACCGGAGGGUGACGAAGCCAUAAAAUGUAGUGAUGUGGAAAAUGUGAGUGAAUUUAAACUUAAAAGUGCCUAAAAGUACGAGUGGACUUGUGAGUGGGAAUGAACCCAAUUCACACGUGAUGUUAGAGCAUAAGUGAAGUACAAUAAAUGUAGGAUAAGAUUUAUACUGUCGAAGGUAAUCACUUAUACUAAUGUUUGCCAAGAAUCCUCGUCGACACGAACAUUGCCACUAAAACCUAGAGGGGCGAAAAAAAAUAAAGAUGAGUGGGCCUAAAAAUAAAGCUUUGUAAAAACCUUUUCAAAAUAUAAUAACUCAUCGUCGUAAAACAAGUAUAGUUUUCAAAUAUACAUACUACGUAUAGUAUGAAAAUACUUAUCGUAGCCUACAAUUUCUCAAAAAUUCAAUACAUCACAAUAUUUUCCAUAAAUAAACAUCUAACGUCCGAAGUUCGAGAUGAAAGGUCUUGGUGGAUUGAAAUAUUUCUUGGGUAUAGAAGUAGCUCAAUCUAAACAAGGUAUAUUUCAAUCUCAAAGAAAAUAUGUUCUAGACUUGUUAGCUAAAACUGGAAUACUUGAUUGCAAACUGACUGAGACUCCCUUAGUCCUAAAUCACCAUCUUGCCAUGCAUGACACGCCUCGAUCCUGAUGUUCCCCGAACACUAGGAUAGGCACGUGCUGGCCGACACCCGAGGGUGACGAAAGCCAUUAAUUGAUACAAAAACUAAGAAUAAGAAAUAAAUAAGGGUCAUGAGUUCAAAAAUACAAAGAAUUAACAAUUUAGAAACGUGUUCAGAGCAUACAACUAACUAGAGCACUAAAAGAAUUAAGAUAAAAUUAAAUGAAUAAAUGAGUGGGUCCUACCCCAAGAGGAUUGUAAGAUGCUGCUGCGGAAGUGUCUUGACGCCGGGAUUAGGUGCCUUGAUCCUAAGUCCUAAAUGGGGGCGCAAAACAAAGGUGAGUGAACCAAGUUUAUAUACAUACAUAAUAAAAAAAAUAGUUAUAAACAUACUAACCCCCAAAGUUUUAAUAAUGAAAACUACUAGCAUAAUAAGUGAUAGGUUUACUGAAAACACUAGCAUGCCAAAAACAUCUAAAAGACAUAUCGCGAAAAAAUAUCGUGGAAAUCGAAAUAUUAAACGUUUCGUAAGCGCGGUGUGCUACUAGUAAGAUCACUGAAUAAAUAUAACUCCCGGCCCUAUGCCAGCACCGUGGUCUCUGCGCCCGUAGCCAGAGAUUACCAACUCCCAACCCAAUGCCUGCUCCAUGUCCCUCAGCCCGUAGCUAGGGAUUAUUUCUCCCGGCCUAAAUGCCAACACCAGAUCCUUGCCCCAGAGGCAUAAUGUCCACUAGGUACGCACAAAUAGUUACGCCACUAAAAAAUAAGGAAAACUAAUGAAAAAGGCUUGAAAACUUUGAGUUUUAAUGAUAAGGACAAAAUAAAGGGUAAAGUAAAUAGUACCAGGUUUGACUUUUUAGUGUAAAAAUGUGGUUUUUCGUUAAAAUGAACAGUACCGUGAACUUUUCGUUAAAACUCCCUAAAAAAUAACCACUUCGUAGUAUAAAGUCCCCACUAGCAACUUCACCUAAGCACAAGAAUUACAAAUUAACAACUACCCAACUAAAGAAUUUCAAGAAUGGAAAUGGGUCUUGGGUUUGGAUUCGGAUUAGGGUUUAGGGUUAGAACUUAUUGGGUUUUGGGUUUUAGGGUUUUGGGUGAAAAUGGGAGGUUUGGGCUUAAGCCCAAACCCAUAUACAUACACCCAUAGCACAACACACACACCCACAUGCACGACAUGCACACACACACACACACAUACACACACGGCGCACGCCCACACCAACACACACACACACACGGCCUGCAGGCCUAAUAACCCAAAAAGGGCUGGGUUUAGAACACAGGUCCAAGGCCCUUAGGUGUUGGGUUUUAAAAAGAACAUAACCAAAAUUAAAAACUGAACAGGCCAAGGUACUGGGCUGGCUUCAAAACGGGUUAGGCCCGUGGGGAAAUUUGGGUGGCCUAAAGGUUUGGGUGUUUCACAGAGGGGAAAGCCGGAGCUGCUACAACUCCGGCUGGUGGUUUCCUAACAAACUAGGGUUCAAGUUAAGCAUUAAAAUGAAGAGGAGAGAGAGAUGAGUAAUUAUAUACCCUUGCUUCGUGUGAAAUGGACGUGUGUGAUCGGAAAAAGCCCACGAAGGCCACUGCUUGCCGGAAAGUUUGGGGGUUCUUUCUUCCGUGGUGGCUCCGCCUUAACAUUGAGAAAAAAAACGUAAAUCACCACACACAACCACCAACAACAAGAAGUUCUUUGAGGAAAAUAGAUCGAGGUCUCACCUAAUCGGAAAAAUAAAAGGAAAACUAAUGAAAAUGGCUUAAAAACUUUGAGUUUUAAUGAUAAGGACAAAAUAAAGGGUAAAGUGAAUAGUACCAUGUUUGACCUUUUAGUGUAAAAAUGUGGUUUUUCGUUAAAGUGAACAAUACCGUGGGUUUUUCGUUAAAACUCCCAAAAAUAAAAGGAAGUCGCCGGAGAUUCGUUUCACCGUUUGGGCCGACUUUAAUGCAACGAGGAUAGGAAAAUCAAGGCAAUGAUGGUGAUUGGGCUACUGGUCUCAUGCACAACCAGCAACGCAGGUUGUUUGGGCUACUCACGGUGCAACAGAAAAAGAGAGAUGAGAGGGUGUUGAGUGAGAGAGAGAGAGAGAGAGAGAAAGAAAGAUAUCUGAGAGGGGGGCUCGGGUAAAGAAAAAGGUAAGGGAGUUAGGGAGAGAGGGAAGGAUUUCAGAAAAUGGAAAUGGAAUAGCUCGGGAAGAGAGAAAGGAGAAGGGACUGCCACUUGGCAGUUUAGGAGGGAUAAAGUAUUUAGAUCAACGGUUAUGAUUUAACUAAGAUAAGGGACUAAAUUGGUAUAUUGAGACAUAUUCAGGGAGGAAUAUGGAAAUAUGAUUAUAUUGUGGGGGUGGGUGUAACAAUGCACAUUGAUCAAGUCCCUACUAACAGAGAAUGUUAUCAAGGGUUAGUUAGGAGGUUAAUUUAUUUAUCUCACACCAGGCUUGAUAUUGCGUAUGCAGUAAGUGUUGUUAGUCAGUUUAUGCAUUCUUCGAGUGAUACUCAUAUGGGUGCAGUUGAAUGCAUUCUCCGGUACCUAAAGUUCUUCUCGGGUAGAGGCAUCAUGUUAUCUAAGAAUGGUCAUUGUGGAUUGAAGGUUAUACCAAUGCAGAUUGAGCAGGGAAUAUUACUAAUUGACGGUCCACAUCUGGAUACUUUACAUUUGUGAGGGGAAAUUUAGAGACUUGGCGGAGUAAGAAACAAAAAAUGGUUGCUUUAUCAAAUGCAUAGGCGGAAUACAGGGGUAUGACAAAAGGAGUAUGUGAAUUAUUAUGGCUUCGGAUGUUACUCGGAGAACUCGGGUGUCCUUCAAUGUUGGCUUCGAAUUUGUUUUGUGAUAAUAAAGCAGCGGUUGAUAUCUCACAUAACCCAAUCCACCAUGAUCGUACGAAACAUGUGGAAGUUGACAAACACUUCAUUAAGGAGAAGUUGGAUGAGAAUAUUAUUCAAUUCCCGUUUGUAAAGUCAGAGGAUCAAUUAGCGGACAUCUUAACUAAAAUUGUUGUGAGUCAAGCGUUCUACAACUCUCUCAUUAAGUUGGGCAUGAACGACAUUUAUGUAUGAACUUGAGGGGGAGUGUUGGAGAGUUGACCUUUGUAAUUAGUUUAGUUACCCAUUUGGGUCCUUAUAAUUAGGGUAUGAUUAUGAUAGAUAUUAGUUUAUGUUUCUUUCCAUGUAAAUCAAUCUUGUACAAUAUAUAUUUACUUCCUUGGUGAGAAGAAUAAUAUCAUAGAAUUAAACCCCAAGAUAAGUCCUUAUUAGCAUGGUAUCAGAGCCAGGGAACGGACGGUAAUGUUCUGCCACGUGAUGGGUGGGUCUCCUUGGCCCCGCGCGAUGAUGGUGGGUCCUUGGCCCCGCAUGUAGGGUGAGUCCCAUUGGCUUCAUGUGGUUGUCGAUAUGUGGAUUUCUCAUGUGUGACCCAUUAAUUGGCUCCCAUGUGAGGAGUGUGUUGAAAUGUCUCACAUCGGCCGUAUCAAUGAGAAAAUAAGAGUUUAAAUACCCUAAUCCCAUUCCAACUAAUAUCGAGGCAUUUUUGUGAUAAAACUCCACACCUGAUGGAUUGUGUAGGUGGUAAUUAUGGGGACAAUAUUGAUGUUGUUAAAAGUGGGCCUUCUAUCCAUCUCUCUGAUAAUUCUACAUGGUGAUCAUAUUAGACUUGAGAGGGUUAAUGUAGAUACCUAUAUGAUCGCAACAGCCACAAACGGGUAUUGAGCCAUCGAGAUGUCUCUCGGGAGGUCUUCGACAUGAUGGCCAAGCUUGUCACCACUUCUUGUUGUACUGUUGAGUAAGAUCUUUUUGGCAACAAAGAACACCAUCCCAUCGGCACUCCUUGAAUCGAUUAUGCAAGUGAAAUUUGUGGUAAAGUCUUCGAGUUUUCCGGGGCAUUUUCCUUUAGGAUGAAGGGCUUGCAGUGGGUUGCUCGACCGACAUUCUAAGUUUCUCUGAGGCUUAUGGUGCGUCUGACUAGUUGGGUACCAAUAUAUGCUUCUCCCUCAAGGGAUAUGUUGGUCGUGCCAUUAGGAAAGCUUGGGAAGUUGAAGGUUAAAGCAGUUGCAAAAGGGUAGAAAAGAAAGAAGGUAAGGAGGUACAAAAGCCCAUUCCCAGAGUCAUUGACAACCAUAUCGAAAAUUUUGUGGAAUCAUUUUUUCGUUACAUUUACGAGUUUGCCAUUGGCUUGAAAACCGAUUUUUUAGCAUUUCAGCUACAUCUGGGCUUUGGCUUUGGCUUUUACUUCUGCUUCAAUAGGCCUGUUGGAGGAGGGGGAUGGAAAGACUGACAGAUUGGGGAGAGACGAGAGCUACGAAUAGACAGCAGCCAUGCUUGCAGAGAGGGAAACUAGGCGAUGAAAUUGCACUGUGCGAAUGGACAGCGUUUUGGACUCUCUACCGCUGCUCUUGAUCCGCACGUGUUGAUAAUUGUGGAAAGGGAAGAAGGGAUGGAAAAGGCGGUCUUUUCCAUUUCCUUCUCAAACCCUUAUUUCCUCCUGAAACCCGAAGACGGAGAUAUAUCGGGAUUUUGAAUAGAGAGAGAUAAGGGUGUUCGUUGCAGAAAGAGAUAUGGCAAGAUUUCGAUGGCUACGAGAUUUUGGGAUUUGCAGUAGGGAUGACAAUGUUAACCGUUAGACCCGAUAACCAUCCGAAUGGAUUGGAUUUGGGUAUGAAAUUUGGGUAUGGGAAAAACCGUGAAUAUUAUUUGGUUAUGAUUUUAUAUAGGGAACUUUAACGAAAAACUCUCGGUACUGUUCACUUUAACGAAAAACCACAUUUUUACACUAAAAAGUCAAUCCUGGUACUAUUCACUUUACCCUUUAUUUUGUCCUUAUCAUUAAAACUCAAAGUUUUCAAACCCUUUUCAUUAGUUUUCCUUUUUAUAUAUGGUUAUAGGGGUCCUCAAUCCAUAUCCGUCUUCGAAUCCGAACCAAAUAAUAUAAUAUAAUUAUGUAAUAUUAAAAUAUUAAAUAGUGUGUGUGUGUGUCUAUAUAUAUAUAUAUAUAUAUAUAUAUAUAUAUUCAUUAUUCAUCGAAUUCAUUACCUUGAAAAUACAAAAAUUGCAUUGUGUGAGUUGCAUUUUGUGGGAAAGUUCAAAAUUUUUUAUAUGAAUCAAAAUAUAUGAUAAUUCAAUGGUACUUAUAGGAGAUAUCAAAGAUUAGCCAACAUUAUCAAUGUUUAACUUUAAUUUUUAUACUCCACAAGAUCUAUUGACUAAAUCAUUUUAUCAUCAAUUAUAUAGUGACGAAAUUAAUAUUUCUUAAAUUAUCAUGCAUAAAUUGAACGCACCAAAUAAAAACAAACACACUAAAUGAACUUAAAUAUCUUGAGCUUGUUUCAAUUCCCAUUGGUGCUCUAUCAAGUCAAUUUGCCGAGCAUUAUGCAUAUAUGGCCUUUGAAGUGCAGUAUAUCGUUGAAUGACCCUUUCAUUGUAACGUUCGUCCCUUUCUAAUGGCUCAUGUUGCACGGGUUCUUCGGUGGCGUCAUGAGCACAAUAUAUUUGUGUUCUGGAAUUGUUCAUCGUGUCUAGCUCACAUUCAUCAACGACAUCAUAAUCGUACUCAUCUUCCACAAUCAUGUUGUGAAGAAUGAUGCACGUCAUCAUGAUGGAUCGAAGAGACUCUACAUCAAACAUUAUGGUAGCACCCCUAACAAUCGCGCAUCGAGCUUGGAGGAUACCAAAACAACGUCCUACAUCCUUCCUGCACCUCUCUUGAUAGCUUGCAAAAUGUUUUUCCUUUGCACUUUGCGGUCGUGGCACUGUUUUGACAAACGAUGACCACCUUGGGUAAAUGCCGUUUACUAGGUAGUAUGGGUUGUCGUACAUAUGUCCGUUGACUCAGCACGUGACUUUUGGUGCCUUCCCUUGCGGGACAUCGUUGAACACUGGGGAUUGGGCAAGGACAUUGAGGUCAGAGCACCCGGAACCCCGAAAAAGACGUGCCAAAUCCAUGUAUCAAAAGAUGUCACCGCCUCCAAAAUGAUACUUUUUGCUCCUUUUCUGUCCCUAUAAGCGCCUUGCCAUGCACUUGGACAAUUUUUCCAGGUCCAAUGCAUACAGUCGAUGCUUCUAAUCAUCCCAGGAAAACCUCGUAUCUCGCCAUUCUUCAAAAGCCUUUGCAAGUCCAUGUUAGUAGGCUUCUAGAGGUAUUAUGCAGUGUAGAUAGAUUCGAUUGCUCCGUAAAACCUCAUCAGGGAUUCAAGAAUGGUUGAUUUCCCCAUCCUCGCUAUCUCGUCCACUUGGUCUGCAGAUACUCCAUAUGCAAGCAUCCGCAAGGCAGCAGUAAUUUUUUGUUCAGGAAGGUGACCCAUAGCACCAAAAGCAUCAUUCUUUUGCACAAAGUAAGAAUCAUGGUUACAAACAACAGUCAUGAUUUUGUUGAACAAAUUUCAUUUCAUUCUAUAACGACGUCUAAAGUACGUAUCAGGGAAUGCACUGUUACGGACAAAAUAAUCGUCUAAGAGUUCUGUACCUCGUCGUUGCCUGCUUCUAUCAAGGUUUGUAAAACGACUAGGCCUACAAAUCUGACCCAUAGCUUGGAUGACCGGACGGGAAUGUGAGGUUUUGGCCCAUUCUUGCUUCGUCAUCUCUCUUUCUACGCUCCUUAUCAUCUUCCAUCUCAUUUUGGGCCAUUUGGAGAUUGAACAUUAUUUCUUAUUGGUUAAAAAAUUCAUCCUCUUGUUGAUCGACAUUGUAAGAAGAAGAAAACAUUGUAAGAAGGAAGCAAAAACUAUGAAUAAUGAUACAUAUUUUGAUUUUGGUGAAGAAGGAAGUAGAAACUAUGAAUAAUGAUAGAGAUCUUGAGAAAAUUGGUGUGAGAUUUGUGAGGAUGGAUGGUGGAUUAUAUGGAGGAUUCAGAAAGGAUUAGGUUGUAGAUAAUGCCACGUGGCAUGCCGUCAUCCGUUAAAAAUUUGACCGAAAUCUAUCUUCAAAGAUUGUAAACAGAUUGUGACACGUGGCACAACGUGAUUGGUUAAUAAUCUUAUCGGAAAUUCAUCACCAAUAAUUGUAUUUUCGGAUAAUGACAAGUGGUGCAACGAGAACGAUUAAAAAUCUUAUUAGAAAUCCAUCACCAAUAAUUGUCUUUUUGAAAAAUGACACAUGGCGAAACGAGAACGAUUAAAAAUCUUAUUCGAAAUUACAAAUAAAAUUAUUUUGUAUUAUUUUAUAAAUAAAAAAUAGUAAUAUUUUAUUGCCAAUUGCCAGUGCUAUUCAAUGUAGGGGUGGAGAUGCAAAAGACGGUUACUGUUCAUUAAGGACAGUUACUGUUCACUGGGUGGAUAGCAUAGUGGAUAGCCCUAGAGGGCCUCCACCACCCUGGAACUGCUCUUAGAGAGAGAUGGGGGUGUUCAUUGCAGAGAGAGAUAUGGCAGGAUUUCGAUGGCUACGAGAUUUAGGGAUUUGCAGUAGGGAUGACAAUUUUAACUGUUAUACAUGAUAACUGUGGAUAACUGUCCGAAUGUAUUGGAUUGGGUAUGAAAAUUUGGGUAUAUUUUGGGUAUGGGGAAAAACCGUGAAUAUUAUUCGGUUAUGAUUUUGUAUAUGGUUAUAGAGGUCCUUACUCCGUAUCCGUCUCCGAAUCCGAACCGAAUAAUAUAAUAUAAUUAUGUAAUAUUAAAAUAUUAAAUAGUGUAUAUAUAUUGAUAAUGUUGGCUAUUUAAGGUAGGCAAUCCUCUCUGUUUUAUCUCCAGCGUUGCAGCCAUUUAAGGUAAGCAAUUUCAUUUUUAAUAAAACGAAUUAGGGAUCACGACUUUUGAAUUAGGUAUCGAAUUAUGAUUUUCUUUAAGUCUAUAAUGGACGUACGUUCCAUUGGUAAGUUCCGUUCUUACAAGUUACAACUCAAUUUCCAUGUAUUUUUGUUUUUUCGAUUUAAUUGGAUUUGCAAAAUUUGGAAUUUCUGUGUUGAUUUAAUUGGGUUUGCAAAACGUGUUUAUGUCAAUCUGGGUUUGAAAUUUGAGUUCUUGGCAAUCAGAAUUUUAGCAAAUUUUGAUAGUCUGUUCAAUUGAAUCUUAAGCUAGAUUUAUUAAUAAUUAGAUGAAAUCCCAACAUAAUUUUAAUUUGGAAAAUUAGAAUUGUUGUGGAUUCGGUUACAAAUUUGUAAAUUUUGGCUCCUUUUUUCAUAUGAUUUCCACUGUGUUUCCAGCUUUGUUUUGAUUUUCUUGGAUUGCCCUUUCAAUUGUUUGGUAGGCAAGACUGAUGCCGAAGUUGCCGAAUGAAGUGGAGCUGAUGAGUUUUGGCAAGAUUUUGGAGAACAACGUGACAGUGGGUCAGUGUAAAUUACCUUUGGUUGAUAUUGGUUGGGGAAUUGUCAUGAUGCGUGUUGUUGUACAGCCAGCUAUGGGAAAAUCUAAAACAGGUAAUGUUUCCGUUAGGACCUUAAUCUUGGGUUUUAUAUAAAUAUCUGCUGGGGUUGGGUGGCCGAAGACAUAACAUAUUAAAUUUGGUGUUUAGCGUGCUUAAACUGGUAGGGAUGAUCAGAAUUGAUGUUGUUAGUUAUUAAAACGUGGUAUUUAUCCUGUAAACUACACCAAGGGGACGGGGAUGGUUAGAACUUUGAACCCGGGAUGCAGUGGGGCUAAGAGAAAUACCCUCCCCACCGGGGCAAUCAAUCACCUGCAGGAUUGUUAAAAUAUCUCUGCUAAAAAUAUGAGUUUUACUUCCUGUACUUUAUUUUUACUGUGAUGUGGAAAUAGGCUUUACAAUGGCUUAUUUGUGAUAGUUGAUGAAGAGAUUUGUGUUUAAGACGAGAGUAGUGCGGUCUCUUUCUUGUAGUGAAAUAUGUAAAUAAUCAACGGAAAAACAAGGUAAAUAACAAAAACUUCAUCUUUCCUUCUUUCAGUUGUUAUAGGUUGCGUCAUUCUCAUCACUCUCUAUUCGGGGAACUUCCAGAUUCUAAAACUGGUGCCUAAUCACGAUUUCUGGUACUUUAAGAAAAACUCAGUAUCUUUUUUUUUUUUUCAAUUUUGUUUUUAAUUUGGUUGUUUGAUCAUUUUUUUCAAUGCGGGUCUUGAAUCUUGAUCAAUUUUGUUUGAUUAAUUUCGGUAUGGACUAAGCUUUAAUUAAAAAGAUGAAAGAUCAACAAUUGAACUUACAUGAGCCGACCAACCUCUUGGAAUGCAAAAGAUACAGUUCAGUUCUUCAUUCAUCACCAGGUACAAAUUUUGCCACUCUCUUAUUGUGCAUGUUGACAUUUCUUUUGUGUGAAAACUUAAAAUUGAAAACACAGUUGCUACUACUAAUGUUAGAUUCGACCUUGUGGUCUUUACAGAAAUCAGAAAUGGGAAUUGAUUUGAAGUGCACCGUCUGCAUUACUUUGGUAUAUUGGAUAAUGAAUGCGGUUUUACAUUGAAAUAUAUGUUUAUCCUAGGGUUAUUGUGCACUUUGAAAUGUUGUUGAUGGUGUCACAAAUUUUGUUGUAGAAGAUGGGGUGAUUGUGAGGCUAUGGGGCGUUCCUGAGGACUCAGUUUGACCUCUUUCAGAAGUAAUAGUGUCACUGUCACUGACCAAUGUUGAGAAUAAUGUUGGAGGAGCAAUAUAGGUCGCCGCCGGCAUCUUUGAUGGGAGAAUGGGCAAUGGAACUUCGAAGUUAAGCACUUGAAUCGCUUGUUGAAUCGAAGGUCUGAAUGUAUAUUGCGGGUGAGCACACCAGAGCCCAACAAUCAUCAAGCACUCCAUUUGUUUCU